UCCUCCUGGGGUUGCAGGCUUGCACUCCAUUCUCCUCGAGUAUUCUUUUCUUCACCUCACCCAUCUGGAUCAUAUUCUAAAAGUUCCAAAUAUAUCCCCACCUUCAAACCUAUAUAUAACUCUCCAAUCGAAAAUUCAAUUCGAUUGAAUCCUCUAUAAUCCUUCAAAAAAAAAAUAACAAAAGAAAAUCCUCUAUACUUUGUUUUUUCUUUUUCUUUUUUUGGUUUGCCUUUUAAUGCACGAAUUCCUUUCUCAGUUUCACUGCCUUCUCCUAUUAGUCAUAGAAUUUUGAUAGUCCGAAUAAGGUUCGGAAUUCGAGGAAAAUCUUCAAUCGGAGUAACACCUAAUGAUCGUUCAAUUCAGGAAACUUGAAUUGAAUUUACAGAAUUUUGUUAAGUUCAAUUCGUAUUAUUUUUCGUUUCCUGAUUUUUUGGCCGUUGAAAGAAAAAUGGUGAAAUUGUUAUGACGGUGCGGACGAUGAUGGACUGUAAAGUUUGUGCGGCAUCAGGAGAUUUUUUGUGGCGGGUGAGACCGGGGAUUGCCGGAGGCGGAGGUGGCGCAAGUAUGGGACAGAUGGACGGAGGGUUUAGUCCGUCGGAUGGCGAACAUGACCUGGCGAUGAUGGUGAGUGAAUUCUUGGAGUAUGGGAGUAGCGGGGGAGCUGACUCCAGGUGUAGCAGCGAUAGCGAGUCUGGAUUGUGCGAUAUCGCUGACCUCGCGGACAAAAUUUCUGUAAGUCUUGUUCAUCUAAGGACUAGUUUUGAUCAUUUUUUUCUUUUGUUUUAAAAGUUAACUGUUUAUUUUCUGGAAUGUUUUUUUUUGCAAGUUCUUUUGUUUUUAUGAGUUUUCAUUUGGUGAUUGAUUGAGGAGGAAUACUCUUGAAAGAAUUGUGCUCUUGUUUUCCCGCUCAUUUGAAGGGCUCAGAAGGAUUCAUUCAUGCCUUGUUGCCUAGAUUAUAAGCUUCGAAAUUUGGUUAUAGGAUUUCUUUUUUGAUUUUCUAGAAUUUCACAAAACAAAACAAAUAGAAGGAGCUUUCCUUUUUUUUUUAAAUGAUUUUUCCCUUAAUUUUCCAUUGAAUGAAUUGUACCCUGAAAAUCUUAUAUGUGCCGAUGUUGCUUCUUUAAGACUUUGUGUUGCCUAGGUUGUAAUACAGUAGUAAUUCUUGUUAUAUUCUUUCCAGAGAUGACCUGGGUAAGGAAGGGAUUGGCUGGUUCCAAGACUUGGGCAUAUUCUUUAGCUAGUCAGGAGUCUGUCUUUUGCUUUCUCUGUAGAUACGUGGACUUGUUAUUUCACAGAUGUUUUGUACAUUACGAGAUCCUCUUGAGUAUAUCUCCAACAAUGUUUUGGCAUGGCGUUAUAGCGAAACCUUGUGGCUAGUUGAAUCAUCUAUGCAGUAACUUGUCUACCUCGCUAAACAUUUCAGCGUCAUGAAGUGAAUGCCUACUUGCACUUUAGGCCUGUUUUGGAGUUAUGUUUACCAUUUUCAAGUGCAAAUUAACAACUCCAAAUUACAACAUACUUGUAAAAUUACAGUUGAUAGAAGACUUAGAAACUCCUGCUUUCCUCUUUCUCCUUAAAUUCGCAUGAAAUCGUAGGAAUUACACAUUUCCUUUUGUGUCUCAAGCUAACUUAUUUCCUCUCUUCUUAUUCCCCCACCCCACUCUUUUUUUUGAAUAAUGAAAAAAUAGCUCCUAAUCUGAAUAAAUCUGUAGUAAUUAUACAAUAGAAGACUGGUCGUCAUGAGUCAUUGCUUACAUCUUCCUUUUUUGUUUUUCAUAUCAUAUAGUAUCACAAGCUGGCAAUGGAUCAAUUUGAGAUAGACACGCUUUCGGUGGUUAAUUCACUUCUGAUAUCUAUAAGCGAGAAGGACCUUCUGCACGUCAAGUCUGGUUUAUGUAAUGCCAGCUGCAUCAGAUUUUCCUUGGUGAAGCUUCUGAGGCUUUCUGGUUAUGAUGCUGGUGUUUGUGCAGCCAAGUGGCCUGGCAGUUCCAAGGUUCCUGGAGGUAUAAUCUUGUUCUAAUUUCCAACAUGCAUUUAUAUAGUUGACAUCCAAGAUUUGAAAUUUCAAAAUGUGUUGGAGGGUUUUCUAAGGCAUCUGUAACAUACAACAUACAUCUUGCCUUCUGCACUGAUUCUUGCUAAGCUGGUUGCAUUGUCCAUUUCUCUUACUGCCUUCUAAUUGACAGUGAAUGAAACUCUUCUGUGGUUUGCUGCCAAUGUCUACGAACCUUUUCAUGAAGAAUUUAUUUGGUAAUAAUGCUGGUUCGAUAACAUGUGUUUUUCCAUUCUGGUAUUCAGGGGAUCAUGAGUACAUCGAUGUGGUUAACUACACGAAUGCUGGAAGCUCAAGCUCUGAACGUCUGAUAAUUGAUAUUGAUUUCCGUAGUCACUUUGAGAUUGCUAGAGCUGUGGAGUCCUAUGAUAGAAUGUUGAAUUCACUUCCUGUAGUUUUUGUGGGCUCUUUGACAAAGCUGAAACAUUUCCUUCAGGUUAUGGUUGAAGCUGCUAGAUCUUCUCUGAAGCAGAAUUCAAUGCCUUUCCCCCCUUGGAGAUCUCUUCCUUAUUUGCAAGCUAAGUGGCAGUCUCCCUAUCAAAGAAAGUUUAGUCCUGAGGAACCCAAUGGUUAUGGAGGGUCUUCUUUGGAGCAUAAACAGUGUGGUGGACAUUUGAGGAGACUGCAGUCUGAGCUUGAAAUUGAGCGACUGUUGAAGCCUGUGAAGAGCAAUAAUUGGAAGCCAAAGCCUGACAAUAGGUGGAGGUGCUCCUCGUAUAUGACUCUUUGACAAAUAAAUUCUGGAGGGAGCUAGGAAGUGUAAGUUCUUGCCUGUUUGCAGACCUGACUUGGUAUGUGAAAGAGGUGCUAUGGCUUUCCUCGUUUUGAGAACCAAUUUUGAGGAGAUUCUCUGGGUAGAGUUAGAAGAAGCAUUCUGCAAUAAGAGCAGAGGAUAUGAUAUAGUGGUAUUUAGAUGAAUUUACACAGAGUAUUAGAAUGGGAACAUUUUAUCAUACUCCCAUCUAAUAAUGCGCCCUAUACAGUUUAUCUCAUUCUUUGUGCUCCAGAAGAAAGCAAGAGCGUCAGGUUCUGGAUGUGGUGCAGGUUCUCUCCAUCAUCAACUGCAUUUGCAUCCUGCCAGCUGAAAAUGCUCGCUGGUGGAGCAAGUUUUCUGUUUUGUUGGUUGUCUUUUUAGGGUCUUCUUGCCUCCUUGGAAGGCAAAUUUUGCUCUCUUCUCUUCUGCGGGUUUCCACUUCAAUUGUUAAUUUGAGCUGCUUGUAUUGGUCAUGUUAAGCUUUCUCCGGUGGUCAAAUGAUUUCUUUGACCGUAUCCAUGCUACUUGCUUUCUGUUGCUGCAAAUUGCAAUCAAUCAGUUCCUUUCAUUUUAUUUUAUUUUACUACAUUAAGGGACUGGAAUAUGUGUUACAGAUUGUAGUGAUGGGAAAUGACUUCGGAUAUGGCAAUUCCCUCACUUGGGGGAACCCUUUAUGGGGCAUUUCCUAAUAUGUAUGGUUACCAGGCAUCCAAGGGCAAGUUUCGAGCAUUUGAUUAAAAGCGUUUUACAAUUUACAAAAAAUAGCUACACUAAUGUCUAAGGCGAGCCCAACUAGGGUUUUUACAAAGAGGAUAAACCAGGACUCUGACAUUUGACCUUCGACUAUGUGCAUCAUAUGUUACAGAGAAGGGAAAUUGAAAGGAAAAAUUGACAUUUCACCACCAACUAUAUGGAUAAUGACCAGUUAAUGGGCAACCAAUUCUGCGGAUAUAUUAAGACCCUGUACAUCUCUUAUCUCUUACACAGUUGGAUGCUUUAUGGAUCAAUGCCUAUCUAGUAGAAACAAAAAUCAUUUUUUUUUUGUUUCUGAAAAAAUAGGAAGGAAUUUACUAAAUCCAGAUGCAAUAAAGGACUUCAGGUAAGAUGUAGUUUUUGCCUUAAAUGGAGAGUUAAUUUUGACGAAUUAAGAUGUGGAACGUUUUUUUUAAAAAAAAAUUUUCUAGCCUGUUGGACAUAUAUGUGGGCCUGAAAUUGUCACACCAGGCACGCAAUGCUCUGAUAAGCCUUUGGGCGUCGGACAGCGCAUAGGAUGGGCCAAAGGCUGCUAGUCCAACACUCAAAAAUGGAGGCCGAAGUGGACAAGUAUGCCUCUGAAAAGUCUCAAGACCAAACACGAGGAAAGUCUAGAUUUAUCGUAUGUCAUUUAACAGCCAGAAGUGUAGCCAAACGUCAGUAAUUACCUUUUGAUUGGGCUUGUGAAAUUAGUUUAGGUCUCAGAAAUUAAUAUUCUGCCCAAAAAAAAAUUUAACAGCCCAUGACUUCUAUGCCACCGUAAUGCUCGUUUAGAAUUUUAGAUUACGGUAUGGUUUCUCCAACCAAUUCAAUAUUGCCAAGUUUGAUCAAGAUUUUUUAUUUCUAUCCAAAAUCGAGCAAUUCACUCAUCCUACGCAGCAUUAUAAGACUCCCAUCGUUUUCUUCGCGUCUCCUUCUUGCUGUCCACCUGGACGGCAUUUUCUUUUUUAACUUUUAGAUAAGGCAAGAGAACAUCCUAUCAUAUAAUGAGUAUUGCGGAAAACGCGUAGAAUAUUUGAUGAUUGAUGAGCUAUUAUGCCUCGUCACAUAUUUCCGAAUCACUUACUUUUCCUUUCAAACCGAUGGCUUUUUGAUUCCCGUGUUCUCACUUCGUCACCCAAGCUUAAAGGUCAGCCUCACGAACGUUCCAAGUUCCAACAGACAAAACAACUGGUCUUGUCUGAAACAGAUCAAAAGUGCUGGUAUAAAACGCCGGAGCCAAAUCCAAUAUGCACUAUCCCUCCUGAUUAAAGUAACAUAUAGGAACUAGGGAGGUAGAAGUUAGACCUGGAACCCAUCUCUCCUUCCUGUAUAUCUAUCUCUGUUCCCUAUUUACAUGUAUAAUAACAAAAAUAUGGAGAUGUCCAAGAGGACACCAUCUUCGGCCAUGGCUAUCUUUCUUGUAUUUGCUCUUUUUAUCCAACAUUUCUCAGCAGUGCAAUCGAUAGGUGUUAACUAUGGUACCGUUGCAGACAACCUUCCGCCACCGGCUCAAGUUGUUCAAUUCAUCAAAGACAAAACCUUCAUAGACCGCGUGAAGAUAUUCGAUGUCAACCCCGACAUCAUCCGGGCCUUCGCCAACACAGGAAUCUUGCUCACCGUCACGGUCCCCAACGGAGAGAUCCCCAACCUCACCAACAUCAGAUACGCUCGCAGAUGGGUGAAUGAGCACAUCAAGCCAUUCUACCCGCAAACCAAAAUCAACUACAUUGCCGUAGGAAAUGAGGUCCUCCACUGGGGACCCCAGAAUCUAAUCGACAACCUCGUUGCUGCCAUGAGGACCCUUCACCAGGCUCUCGUCAAGAAUGGCAUCACAGAUAUAAAGGUGACGUCACCACAUUCUCUAGGCAUUCUCGAAUCUGCUAAGCCGCCCAGCCUGGCUAAAUUCAGGCCUGGUUGGGAUGUAGGUGUUUUGGCACCCAUGUUGCAAUUUUUACGCGAAACCAAGUCUCCUUUUAUGGUCAAUCCGUACCCGUAUUUCGGUUUCGACCCCAAGGAGAUUGACUUCGAUCUCUUCAGACCAAACAGAGGAUAUUACGACAGGUUUUCCAAGAGGAGUUACACGAACCAGUUUGAUUUGCUGUUGGAUGCGGUUUUUAUGUCUAUGAAGAGACUGGGAUAUGCGGAUGUGGACAUAGUGGCAGCCGAGACGGGUUGGCCAUCUGAAGGGGAAACAUUUGAGCCACAAUGCACUCCUGCUAAUGCUGCUGCGUAUAACGGAGGAUUGGUGAAGAAGUACAACUCUGGGACUGGGACUCCAUUGAUGCCGCACAGGAAGAUUGAGACGUACAUUUUUGCCUUGUUCAAUGAGAAUCAGAAACCGGGUUCAUUGGCUGAGAGAAGCUGGGGAUUGUUCAGGCCUGAUUUUACUCCUGUUUAUGACGUUGGAAUUAUGCGGGGGGGACAGGUAUGAAAUUCGGACUCUUAUAACUAUUAUUGCCUUAAUUAUGAAGUACUUAUGCCGUCUCUUGAAUUUGAAGUCUUUUCAUAGAUGCCCUUUUUACUAGUACUCCGUCCACGCCUUACCAUAAUGCAAUUAGAAGAUGAAUUGAAAAUCACCCCAAUAUCUGCAUUUAAUUUAUGCGUGUUAAUUCUGCUAUAAUCAAUCCUUCAAAUACGAGUCCUUUCACUGAAGAUUGCCUAUUGAUAAUGAAUUAUGGUAAAGUUCCUCCCUUUACUUUAAACACAGCAUUUGUCUGUUUUGUUAUUGGAAUCUUCAAAAAUUAGGCCGACAUUUGAACAUGGAACACGAAGCAUCGUUUGUCUGUUUUGCUUUUAGGCUUUAGCCUUUAGGAGGAGUAGGGACACCGCAUUUGAACUUUUAUCCCAUUUCAACCUCAUAUGUUUGACAAAAUUACGGGAUAGCGAAAUGUGAAAAAUAGAGGAGUGUGGGGCUCUGGCGAAGGCUACAUCUGUUCCGUGUUGGACUGCUCCGAUUUCCGCGUUGAACCUUGGGACGAUAAAUGAUUCUUCUGACGAAGAUUCAUUGGGUGAAAUUUCAAAUCCAUAAAUGACUAAAUAAAUAAAUAAAUAACUGCAUCAUCCAAUUAAUUAAAAUUUGCAUGUUGUAGUGGUACCAAUGCAAAGCAGAAGACAACUUAGGCUGGAAAAUUUACUAACCGUAAAAAAAAAUGUUUGAAUUAGCAGAAGAAAUUUGAUUCUUCUACUUUGUGGAAUGUUAGAGUCGGAAUGGUUCUAAUCCUCGAUGCCCUCUCUAAAAUGAGUCAGACAGGAAUCUUGUGCUGUUGCCUUUAACCCUUUCCACCUUUACACUUUUGCUUUUUUUUUUUGGCCCUGGGUCUUGGAGGGACCAGUCGGCUAAAUCUUGUCCCAUUUUCUUUUGACCUUCAGAAACAGCAAUCAGAAACUACCCCGAGUACUCUACAAUCUCCCCAUUCAAAGAAAAUGCUAUAGUAUAGUAGUGCAUCAUCUUUUCUCAUUCUUCUGUAGUUAUUUGCUUAGUUGAAAAGAAGUAGGAGUAUUACAGUGACGAUAAAAUUAAGCUCAGCGGUAUGAUGAUGAAUUUAAUUUUGCAGUCGCCACAGCCAGUUCCGGUGCCAGCAGCACCGGCAUUGCAGGGCAAGAAAUGGUGCGUGCCAAAGGCAGGGGCCACAGACGCCGCACUGCAAAGCAACAUAGAUUACGUUUGCAGCCAGGGCUUAGAUUGCAGCCCGAUUCAAGCCGAGGGCGCCUGCUUCAAUCCCAACAAUGUGAGGUCUCAUGCAGCUUUUGUGAUGAACUCAUGGUACCAAUCCAAGGGCAAAGCUGACUAUAACUGUGAUUUCUCUCAAACCGGUUUCCUCACCUCUACCAACCCUAGUAAGUCCCUCUAUUUUUAUUGCUGCUACACAAUUUUCCAUCUCAAUGCUUCCCUCUGAUCAGCAGUUUACCAUUCGUGGAUGGUACUUAGAAUGCUUCGUCUCUGGUUUUUGAAUUUUCAGGUUAUGGCACAUGCCAAUACACCAGCUAGGAUAUCAGUAAUUUGCAACAGGAAGGAGCUGCUGCAUGGAUUUAAACCAAAAUGGCAUCUAAUUUAUUGGGUUCUCCAUUAUUUAUUCAUCUGAUCAUCUCUUAGUCAAUCACUUAAUUAACCUCAAUAUUUAUGUCCGUUCUGUUAAGUAUUGUAUUGGACGAUUCUCUGCGAUAUAGAGUUGUGUGCCGGCUACGUGCAUGCCGAAAAUUGUACCAUAUCAUAACUUAACUUGUAUUUUAUAUGUGUCAGAAUCCGGGAGCGGUUUUUUUCUUUUGUUUGCUUUUCAAACGUUGUUAACUUAUAGAUUUUGGUCUUCAAUUUUGUGUAACGAAUAACUAAGUGGGCGUUAAGAACUAAAGGUGGCCCCGACAGAAGAAAAGGUGCUUAGGAUUCUCUCUUUUUCUUGAAGCAAAUUCUUCAUUUUGAAAUUGGCAUCCAAUGCUUUGAUUAUCUGUAUGCAUGAGUGCAUGCAUGCAUGUAGAUGUAAUAUAUGGAACAAUUAAUGGAGUCUAAAGUUCAUCCUAUAUUAGCAGAGAAUCAAGCUCUCAAAGAAUAUAUACCCAAAACAACCAAAAAAAGCAAAAAAGGAAGAAGAAAACUUGGGAUCUAUAAUUACUCACUGAACCGCUACUGUUGCAAAGUACCUCAAAAAAAGAGAGGGGAUUUUUUUUUGUUGGGGGGGGGGGGGGAUGUAAAAGCUAAACCUGCAAAAUUUCAAUGGGGAAGAAAAUAACAACAAACAACACCAAUACUAUUCACGCCUUAACCUUGACGUCCAGUGCAAAAAUAUCUUUAACGACUUGGGCUUUGUCAGCCUGCAAUUGUGGAUCCCCAUUAUUGUCAAUCUUCAAUUCUGCAAAGAGGAGCUGUAGAAGCUUAUUUCUGUUUGCCACGAGAAUCCCAACAAUCUCUGGGGUCUUAUUUUCAUUAGCAGCAAACAACUUGAAAAUUCGAAGCGCAUCAACUUGAAUGAUCUUGCUGGAGUCCCUGAGAAGAUUCAUAAAAAUCCUCAAAUUGUCCCUCGAACUAACAUAUUGCAACAUGACAUCUGAAUUUGAGCGAUGCAUCAGCAUCUCUCCCAGCAACUUCACGGCUUCCCUUCUGGUAAGGUAAUUCGGAGAUUGAAGCAACUUAGAGUUGUAUUCCACGAAAAACCAAUCAUAAUUUUUGGAUAGGAACUCGGCCACAGUUGAUUUAUGCCUCGUUAACAAUUGCUUAAAAGUUUCGGUAGCGUCAGCAGCAACUUCAUAACGUGCAACUUGCACGUAAUCGAAAAAUUUCUUCAUCAUUAGCUUCGAUUCCAAGACAUGCCUUGCAAGAUCUUGAUGGCGUAUGCAAUCCCUUAGCAUAGAACCAUAGUGUAAAGCCGUGAUCUCCAUGCCAUUAUUCUCAUAACCACCGACCAAAACAUCGAUUAACUCGAGAUUUUGUUCCAAAUAAUCACAAGCAAUAAACCUCGAACGGACCUUUUGCCUAAGCAAAUUUGAAACCAGUAGCGUAGCAUCCUUGCGGGUCUCGAGUUUCAACUUUGGAAGACAAAUAAUUAGAAGGCAUAAGGUAUCUUCCCUGAAGAACUCCUCGGUCAAUUGCGCACAAGCUGAUGCUACGGGUUGAGUAUCACUAUCUCCAUAAAGAAUUAACUUCAAAUCUUCCAAUAGCUUGCCGAUGGUAUUUAUCAUAUUUACUUGGCGUUUGCUUUGGCUUUGGCUUUGGAAAGUGUUUGGCGCAGAAUUGACAUGGCUGAGGAGAUCACGAGUCUGUCGAACUAGGUCAGCAGGGGUAGCCUUAGGUUUCGACUUAAAGAACAAAACACCCUUCAUAAUCUUUUUCAGGCUUUUUCUCGUCCUAAUCCUAAUGUAAAAGAUAACUCAUACGUACGUACCCUGAAUAUGAGAAUCUCCUUGGCAGUUGGCACUACCGCAAGGGCGGAGGACGCUCAACGCGGCGGCGUUGCUGCUUUCUCCAACUGACCAAUUGCAAUGUCCUACUCCUGCUUAUUUACCCUUCUAACUACUCGUAUUUGUAGUUUGCAACUGUGAAAAUUUUAGAAUACAAUUCCAAUUCAAUUUCUGUUGUCGUAAAGAACUAAAGCAAGUUAAAGAAAAACAUUCUUGGAAACGGAGACGUAACUGGUAAUUAGUAUUGCCAAGUUAAAUACUAUAUACAUAGGGGAGGAUUGUUAUGGUUUUUCCGAUUAGGUUUCUGAUCUUGAUAAUUAAGGAUAAGAAGGAAGUGAGGAGGGGUGAGAGGGUUAAAAAAAAAAGAAAAAAAAAAGUUAAAUACAUACAGGAUUUGGAUUGAAUUCUAAAUUAAAUCCAACUGCCAAAGUCAAAUUUACACUACGAAUCAACAGGUAGAUGAAGAUAAGUAUAAAACAUCAUUAUACGUUACGUUCUCUAAAAGGAAAAACACAAGAUCUUAUAGUAUUUUGGAUUGAACCAAUGUUGCAGUUAAGCAGGAAGAACGAGGGCCUAUUACUUCUGCAGCAGGAAGGGAAGCAUCAAAGCUAUAUAAACCCGCUAACUAAACUGCAUUAAUUUUACAAGCCCCAUAUAUGAAGGAAGAGUUUGGAAACAGGAAUUGGACAACUACUCAAAAUCUUGUAUCUUGUGCUCGGCUCUCAUUCCUUCCCUUGGAGCCGGGAGGCCAUAUCUUUGACAUUCCAACUUCCUCUCCAUGUGCUCUUUAAGGACCUUAACGACCAACCCGAAGGACAAAAACACCACACACGCACGACCAAAAACCUACUAUAUAUAAUUUGCAGCUAAUUUGAAAGUUCAUAGCAUAUCUUAAACGCAUUGCUGCAGAUAGAUAGGUAAAUGAUUCAUUUGCUUCUAUUUUCUAGUCUAGAGAAGAGAAAAGUUUUGAAUUCAAUUUUUACUCUGACCUAGCUAGCAGGUAGGAAACUUUUGGUAAUUAAAGACAAUUGCUUGUAUUCAUUGCUAGCCAAUAAAAAGUGCUGAAAGUUACUAUGGAUGGCUAACUCCGGCAUUUUCUUGUUCUUGUUACAAUUUGACGAUUAGCCAGUUUCGAAAGUAGUUCUGACUAAGGUUGAACUCAAGGUGAUAUCAGUUACAACUAUGAGAGUUGAAUAAAUUAGUUAAUAAAAAAUUAAGCAAAUCUCCGUCUUGACUAACACUAACUAUUGUUUUCUGCUUUAAAUUGGGGUGGGUCGAAGCUGAAACUGGCUGUCAGACACAUAUCAAUCUUCGAUCUGAAUAUAAAAGAGCUGCAAUUAGCCAAUUACCAAGUCUGCAGUCCAUUAUAACGCAAUCCCUCCAUCUUAGGGUAGUUUCUUGAUUUUCUCCAUCUCAUCAUAAUACGAACAACCACCUAAUUGAAAAUGGUCUCACAAUUAAACAUUAUAUAUACUUGUACUUUUCUAAUGAGUAAGCUUUCACAUUUUUUAUACUUAAUUUAUCAUAUGAACGUAAGCAUUCACAUUUUUUUUUAUUGCAACGGUAACAUUCUUAUAACCUAAUCUAUCAUAAUUUAGAGAGAGAGGAAGCCAAUGGGAAUAGAAAUUCCAUCGAAGGAAGCCAUUGAAGGCAGUCAUUUAUAGUGACAAUUUGGUGAGAGAAAAAGAUUGGAUUUUUGACCUCCCAACACCAUCAAAAUUUAAAUACUUGGCAGUGACCACCAAGCCGAAGGACUGGUUCCAGAAUUACAUGAUAAUACCUUUUUUCCCCAGGAAUUGAUUUGAGGGUAACUACUUUUAUUGCAUCGGCUAUUGGUAAGCGGUGCGUCGGAAGAAGAAUCUCAUGCAGUCCGUUGGGCUGUCGCUCUAGGACAAUCUGGAGAUGCUUAAACACAGCAAUUUGAAGGAUAUCUAGGCCACCUUCUUGAUCAAGUUUCUUGGAUUAUCGUACACAACGAUUCAGAAUUAAAUGACUUUUGGCCCAUGGGAAGUUGGCACUUAUCAUUCCCGUGACAACAACAUAAGUUUGCUUGGUGUCAUUAAUACGGCCCACCCCAAACAUUAGCUUUAAUAAAUCGAAGGUUACGAAAGAAAGGCAAAAUCCAUUGCCCAUAAAAGACAUGCCAGAGUUUAUAAUAAGUAAUAACGUGUCCUGUGGCCCCUCUGCUGUCUACGAUCAAGAUGUUACUGCUUUUUGGUUGGUCUUCCCAAUUGAUGGAAUAUCUUUUCUCGCGAAAUCAUUUAUGCAUCUGGUGCCUUACGAAUUAAACAAGUUUGUUUGAAGUCUCAAGAUCUGUGGGUUGGCAAUGGCGUUAUGCCACCAUACAUCCCUUUCAAAUCUUAUUCAUAUAUGGCGUAGAGUAUCAGUACUCAAUGAAGCACUAAAGUAGUUCUUCUUCCACUUGUGUGUGCAUCAAUGUUUCGUUAUACAAACACACACACACACACAUAUAUAUAUAUGGACACACAUUUGUACAUAGAAUAAGAUAUCUCAUGGACCAAUUUAAGACAUCAUCUGCUAAAAAAUUAAAUAUUUUAAAACAUAAAUAAAUUUUUAAAAUUAUAAAUUUAAACAAAUAAAUUCAUUUCAAUCGUACCUACUAGGAAAAAAAUCUUAAAUCCUACGCAAAUCACAACCAUAUUCUAUAAUUAAACAAAAUGCAUUGAAACUCUUGAAAUUAAACAAAAUCUAAUAGAACUACAAAAGAAAAUGGCGAUCUUUGAGUUUGAGGGUGAGAAAUAGAAGGAGUUUGAUUACUCUUUUAGAAAUUAGGGUUUCGAACAAAAGAUUCGAUAGAUAAGUUUUAUGUUUAAAACUUUAGGUUCAUUUAAAAAAAAGAUGGGAAAAUGAAAAACUGUGGUCCACGGAUCAAUUCGAGUUAAACAGUUCGAUCGAUUUUUAGCAAUUUUGAUCGAUUUUUUAUAAUAAGUCAACACUAGUAGUGAAUUGAAUCGAAAACUUGACCGAUUCUCGGUCCGAUCGGUCAAUUCGGUCCAAUUUUCAAAACAUUGGUAUGUAUAUGCAAGACGCGGAAGUUAUUCUCCUUUGUUUUAACCUUUUCCAAAUCAUUAAAAAUUAGUCCUGAAAAUAUAUAGAACAUUAAGAGGGUAUUUAAUCAUUAAUUACUAGGGAAAAUGUUGAAGAAAAUACCGAAAAAAAAACUAGUUUCUAGCUUCUACAAAGCCAAGACGGAUUAAAUUGGAGAGCAAGUAGUAUGGUGGUCCGUGUACCUUAGAAAACAAAAAACACGCGCAGACACCCCAUAUGGUAUAUGGUGGUCCUAAUGUUUUCGACAUUCGACUAGACGGCAAUUACCUUAAUAAGAUAUCCAUAAUGGUGGUCCUAAUCCUCAGUAACUGCGCAUAUACCAAAUUAAGAGUGCUAAUAAUCAUUUGUGACCCCGAAAUCUUUAACCGCACAUGCUGCUUCUGGUGUCAUUCAAAUGCUCCACCAGUGCCUUCAGUCUAACAAUUUUUUGGUUUGCGAGUUCAGUGAGAAAAGAAAAAAGAAAAUUAAAAUGCUGAAGUUAGGAAAGAAGAGUAGCACUUUCAGGGCUUUAAAUGCUCACCCACAAUCUCUCUCAUUUCUCUCUGCUUUUUGAGAGAGAGUUUUCUUAGAUUUUCAUCUCUAUAUUUUUCUCAAUUUUUAUUCACUUAAAUCUCUCAAAUGAGGGAAAUGUGCUAAUUUCUCUAAUUUUGUCUUGUCUUCUCUUCAUUUCCUUCCUUCCAAACAAAGUGCUUUGUAAAUAACCAAAUAAAAAAUACAAUAAAAGCAAAAAGGGAUACCAAACCGUCGCACGUAUUUAUAUUAAGAGCUAGGGAGCUAAUUUUAGCACUUCCAUACUUGUAAUUGCCACUUCUGUUGAUUCUAGUAUUCGUGUAAAAUAAUUAAUUUUUUUUAUAUUUACAUUCCACCCAACUUACCAUAGCAUUGCACAUAUUUAUAUUUGUUAUAUUCCCUCUAUUUAGAUUUUUUUCGUAUUAACUACAUUAUUGAAAACAAAAAAAAAAUCAUUUGAACAACAACAUAAGAGGAAAAAGUAAUUGUGUGCGGAUGUGUUUUUUGUAAUUGCAAGAUCGGGGAUAUUCUUCUUUUAUUACAUCUGAUAAAAGUCUUUUUUCUUUUUAAUUUUUUGAAGAGCCGUAUUUAACCAACAUAGGAAUACCAAAAUAUCAAAUUUCAUUAAGAUGGAUUAUUAUUUUGAAUAGAAGUCAAGGAGAAGUAUAGCUAACUUCAUUGGUAUUUUAAUCAUGGAAAACAGAAGAGAAGGAGCGGGAGUUAGGAAUAGUGCUCAGGGUUCCCAAUGGGCACCAUGAGUAGGUGGAGUUUUUGGAAAAUUUGGGUUGAAGGGUUAAUUUGUUGGGUUCUUUUUUCUGACUAGUUUGCUGGGUUUAAUAGUUUGGUGUAUUGUCUUUUGUCCACAUUUUUGUUGGUUUUUAAUACCCUCAUAUGUGCAUUGGAGAUAGUUAAGUAUGAUUGAUUUUAUAGUCUUUUUUGCUUAUUGAAUUCUAAUAGCAUAUAUUGAACAUUUAAAUUUACAACCAUUAUUUCCCAUACAAAAAAGCAUGCGGUGCUAAACGGUAGUGUUAGUGAUAGCGUGCGAUGUUGUGUGUGCAUUUUAAGCGUUGGAUUGAAACUAAGCGUGCAUUUGCAUUUGCAAAGAGGGUUCACCAUUGAUUAGUUUAAUUUUCAUCACAUCGAACUUAUUCAGUAGACAAUUAAUUUUAAAAUUAUGUCAAAUAGAAUUAAGCUCUUAAUAAUUUAGUAAUCUCAUAUAUCAGUUUGUUUGAUGUACCUUUUGAUUGCACGUAGUUUUUGGCUAGUAAUUUUAUUUUAGAAAUUGUACAUGCAAUUAGAUUGGGUACAUGUCUCUCUAUAAAGUUUUGCUGUUCUCUUUCUUUAGGAAUUGUAUAUAUAUAUAUAUAUAUUAGAGGUAUUCUAUAUCGUAGUAUUAGUAAAAGAUAGUGGCUUGCUGAUUACUGAAUACUUCAUUACAUUUCAUAAAUUACAUCCAAAUCAUUAACCAUCAACACAUUCCAGAAAUGUGAGCCCCUCAAACUACAACAUCAAUCGAGCCAGACAACGCGAACUUCAAUUUUCGUGCUCGUCCUUCUUGUAAAUCCCAAUCAAACGAGUUACAUCUCUUGCUAACAUAUUAUUCACAUCACAGAUUCGCAAUUGCGUUUUUGACUUUAGUCAUCGAUUUUAUUUUAUUUUAUUUUUUGGAAUCCACAAAUUCAGUAUACCAGAAACCAACAAUAAAGAACCAAAAUAAAAAAAGAGAGAGAAACCAACAAUAAAUUAUAAAGGAUACAGAAGAGUCACCAAACUAGUAAUAAUUGUUGGACGAUAAAGUUUGUAAAAGCGGACUUUCCUUUUAGAUAGUAGAAGAUACUACCAUAUGCCAUCUCAAUAAAAAAGAGGGAUAAAGGAAAAGGUAUAGGAUUAGCUACAGAGUAUAACAUAUCAUCAAAAGUUGAAGAUUGGUUGCUAGUUAUCAUCAUUUCGCAAAGACCAAAAGCAGUCCAAUCCACCAUCAACGCCGCUUCAACCACUCCUCCUCCUCCUCAUCCAUGGAAGAAAAAGAGAAAAAGAAGAACAAGAAACCAAAACACCAGCACCCGAAUGAUCAAACCUCCAAAUCCACCACCUCGUCAGACCUUGCAUUCAAGCCUAGCUCUGAAGUUAAAGGGCUUCGGUUUGGUGGCCAGUUUAUUGUUAAAUCCUUCACAAUCCGUCGCGCUAGGCCUCUUGAAUUCUUGCGCCUCCUCUCACUUCCACCGACACUCAACCUCAACCACCACCAAAACCAGGAAAAGACAAACGGGAAGCAGCCUUUUCCUUCAACUACCGCUUUCUUGCCGACAAAUUUCACGAUCUUGGCUCACCAUGCAUGGCACACUCUGACGCUUGGCCUGGGGACAAAGAAGUCUAAAGUGGUUGUUUUUGUAUUCGAGUCUGAGAAUAUGAAGGCUGCCGUGGACAGAGUUUGGCCGCCAGAAAUCCCACUCGGGGAAGUAAACAGGAAACUUAUAAGGGGUCAGACCGGAUGCGAAAUGGCUAGAUUUAAAUUCAGGAAAGGUGCCAUUACAUUUUAUGUUUAUGCAGUGAGGAGAAUUGGGAACAUGGGUUUUUCAUUUGCGGAUGAUCUGAGGACAAUACUGCAAUCUGUGGUUGCACUCAAUGAUUUCUUGGAUCAUACCGCUAUGCUUGCCUUGCCUAAUCAGAGAAGCAUCAAUUAUUCACCUCCUGUUGCCAUGGUUCACUAGGCAUGUUUCUUUCCAUGAUCUUUUCUUUAUCUGUACCUCUGAAGACUACCUUCCUUUGUUGUCUUUCUUCUUCUUCUUCUUCUUUUCAUGCUUUUAUUGGAAAAAUAGUAGUUUUAUAUCUUUGGGGUGGGCGGAAAUUGAUUAAUUUUUUGGGGGAUUUUAGUUUUCUGUAUCUUUCUUGACUGUAAACUAGCAGAAUAAAUUGCAGGUUUUAGAGGUGAACUAAAGACUUUGUAGUUACUUUUUCCUUUUCUCGUGGGCUAGAAGAAUUUUUGUACUUGUGAACCUGCCAUAUCUAUAAACAAUGUUCAUAAGUCCACGUUCCUGCUAAGAGAUGCGUGAUUAGACCUGCAUAAAUUGCGAGUGGAUCAGUUUCUUCAGAUCUCAACAAAUUCACUUCUUUCGAAUUUUUUCCCUUUGAGCAAGCUCAUGAGAUCAAUGCCAAUCUUUUGCAAAAGAAAAUAAAAAAAAAAAAAAGAACUGCCAAUUAAGUUGGUGACCAAAGCUGAUGAAUGAUGUGCAGACUAUACUAUAGGACGCUUGUUGUUGUGUAGUCUCAAGUACUUGGAAUUUAAUCGACCAGGGGCCUUACUUGCUCUGAAACUAAUGUCAAGUAUUGAUUAGGUGCAGAAUGCAACAAAAGCUACCAAAAAAUCGUGGGGCCAAUAAUCUAAUUAACAAGUAGUAAAUGCAAGAAACUACAAAUUUUUGUGUUGAAACGGUUCAAUUUUCUAAUCAUAAGCAUCAAUUUUCAGUGUACUUCAUAUCUUGUGCAUAUGCUUCUGUUUUAGCAGCGGCAAUCAUCGGACAACAGCAGAAAUUGAUAGCAGAAAUGUUUGCGGCAUCGAGUUGGUACUUAGCGUUCAUAGUUUAAUUAAGAGAUAGUUCUCAUAAACUUGAUAUACUAUAUCUUAUCGUGUUUGCAUCCAUUGGGAGCAUGGAUUCAUGCAAACAGAAAAAAAAAAUAAUCUAGUCAUUUCAUUCAAUCCUGCGUCAGUCUGAAUAUUGCCAGACAAUGAACACUGUUUUUUUCGUGACUCGAGCAGAGAUCUACCCGUGAAAUGAAAGCCAAAGGCUGAAGUCACAACCCGGUAAAAUUAAUCACUAGACAACAAGUUUUCAGUGUUUAUUAUAGUACUAGUAUUUACUUCUUUACUACUUCAACUGGAAUAACUGCAUUAGGUUAGUAAACGCUUCUCGAAAAGUUAAAAAGUUCUCCUUUUAAGAAGGUGAGAAUCUGCUGUCAACAGUUUCAAGUGGGCGUCGAGUUAGUGGAUGGAGGUAGCUUAAUAGUCCACUAAUUAUGUAAUUUAACCGCAACAUUAUUGCCCUCUUAAUUCUGCUACUUACAUUGCCAAUUAGGCGUGCUAUCCUUUGCUCGACCAAACUAGUUGUUGUUAUGUUUGAAAACAAUUACUGCAACUGAAAUAUUUCCUUCAUUUUUUUCAAACAAAAAAAAAAACUUUUUAAAAGAAAAACGUUCUAAAGACCCUGAACAAAGUUAUUGUAAAAACUGACAGAUCAACAUGGCCAGUAGUCUUCUAGCCAAAAGGGAUUGAACUUGUUAACCUUAAGGUGAUUUUGACGGCAGCAUAAAAUAAGGCAACACGGGAUGAAUGUAUAUUUACGUUACAUGAAUGAUAGCCUCAAGUGUGAAAGGUCAGGAUGUGAUGAUGGGAGAAAAUUAAAGAAUAUGCAGUGUGUACUGUGUACUGUGGAGGGCCGACCAUGGGGGCAUGCAGGAUGCUCACCCAUGAAUAUUUGCCACUGGCCUUCUUAGAAGGCUUUUAUUUAUGGUCUCUGUUAAAGGUUGGAGAGAAAAGAAGAAGCUUCUUUCUUUUGCAUGUUCCCCCUCUUUACUUUAAUCAUUCGGUUUGUGAAGGCCCAUCUCAUCUCUCCAUCAGCUUUCUUGAUCACAUGAAUUGAGGUGGUCUUUUUUCUCCUUUGCCAUAGGGAUAAUUUCAGAAACCUCCUAAGGUUACUGAUAAUUUCACUGAGCUCCCAUGAGGUUUGAAAAAUUACACAUACCUCUCUUGUCAUUUAAAAUGAUAAUUUUACCCUUAAAUAUUUUAUUGAAAUUCCCUUAUUUGGUAUACUUAUACUUAAAAUGAGUUUUAAAAUUAUUUUUUCAUUCUUUUUCCUCUUUAUUCCUUUUUUUUUAAUUUUUUACCAAUAAAACUGUAGAACUACCACUAUUGCUUCUAGUUUCUAUUGUAACCAAAUGUCAAACAAAUGAUUUUUUUGACGAGUUAAUUUUAUAUGUUAUUUAAUGUUUUUGCUGAUCUUUGUUUUCUAUUUUUUGGUACUAAAAUUAACAAUAAAUAAAAAAAAUGGCCCAAAAUCACCAAUAAAUUAUUAAUAAUCCCAUUACCUGAAAAAUUCAUAAACUCUAAAUGAAUUGUUUCAACAUUUUCUUUUCUAUUUUAUAAAUUUAAAUCCAUAAUAAAGUACCAUCAAAAGUAUCCUAUCAUAGUAAUAGAAUUAUUAUUAUAGUUGUUUAUCAAAUAGUAGGUAUGGAUAUGAAAAUUUAGCAUUUUUUCCUUAUAAUUAUACUAGAUAAUCUUAUAAUUGUAUAGGAAAAUAAAUUAAAACUCAUUACACAAGGGUAUUCUUGGAUAUUCAUUUAAAAAAUUGACCAAAUCAAUAUUAUUUUAAAAUUUUGUUACUAAAACUACAAAUCAAGGGAGGUAAGUGUAAUUUUUCAAACCUUUUGAGAGCUCAGUAAAAUUAUUAGAAAAUUCGGGAGGGGUUUCUGAAAUUAUCCCUUUGCCCUAUUGCCAUGACAUUCAGUUAACAUGACUGUGAAAAUGGUGAAAGUUGAGCUGUGUUCAACGAUGCUUCUUUGGGUUCAUUUAAGUGCUGGGACCUAGGAUCUCGGCCUUGCAACUUGCUACCCCUGCUUCCUUAUUUCUUCUGAAAUUUCAUCCCAUCACCCUGCCGAAGUCCUAUCUGGGGAUGCAAAUGAGUUGAGUCGAGUCGAUAUUUGGUCUAAUUGAGUCGAGUCUCUAGUUAAUUUUAUGAAACAUGAACUCGACGAGCUCGAAAUGUCAACCUCGAACUCGACGAGCUCAAAAUGUCAAGCUCGAGCUUAAAAAAAUAAUUAUUUUAUUUUAAAAAAAUAAAAAAUAAUUAUUUUUAUUUUUAAAAAUAAAUAAUAAUAAUAAUAAUUUUUCUUAACAAAUAAUAAAAUAUUAUGAAUAUAUAUAUAUGUAAUUUUACUAUUAAAAUAAAAAAAUAAAAAAAAUAUAUAAUCGAGCUCGUGAGCCAAUAAGUUUAAUAUUUUUAAACUCGAACUCGAUAUUGACCGAGCUCGAGUCGAGCUCGUGAGCGGCUCAAUUCAUGUACAACCCUAAUCCUAUACAACAAAUCUAAGUUAAACGAACACUACCGAUUUUAAUCCUUUCUUGUCAGACGGUGCAUGCAAAUCCAAUUAUCAGUUAAUCACAACAAAAUUUUUACAUGAAUCCACUUUACAAUCUUGUACAUUGUUAAAGAAAAAAAAAAUAAAAACUUAUUGGACUGCAUAUACAAACUCUCGAGUGCACAUAAAUAUUUGAACCCACCACCAUAUUCAUGUCUUUCUAAAAAUUUCACCUUUCAUUAAACAGGACCUUCACGUGUCUACCGUGCAAAGAACCGAUUAAGCAUUCAGCAUGUCCCUCUACGUGAAACCAAUUAUUACACAAUUCGUUCUGCGUGAUCGAAUAAAUAUGUAGGUGGCCUAAUUAAGAUUAACAGUGGUCAGUUGCUUCGAAUCUUUUAAUGUUUCGGUUUGAUGAUUUGUGCAAUUAAUUUCUGGACUUAAUGACCUAAAACAGAAUUGAAGUAACGAGUUACGUUUACUUUAAUAUUAUACAAAAUCUUUUUCGUUUAUUUUUCCCUGAAGCAACUGGGAUUGGGAGAAAUAUCUCUGAUUGGCUUUGUGGAGUUGUUUUCAAUAAUAUUUCAAAGAAUCCGUUUGGAUUAGCUAUUUUUGGAGAUGUUUUUGAAAAUUUUUACUGUAGCAGAAUUUUUAGAGUAUAUAUUGGGAUAUUUAAGAGUAGUAGAGUUUUUCGAAUAUAUUUUGAAACAUUUUUUAAACAUUAAAAAAAUUUUAGACUACUUUUUAGAGUACUUUUGGAUUAGCAGUUUUCGAGGGUGUUUUUGAAAAAUUUUACUGUAGCAGUGUAUAUGAAAAAUUUUUACUAUAAAAUUUUUUUGAAAUAUUUAAUAUAUUGUAUGGUUGAGAUGCUUUUUGAAUUAUUGUGUAUUACUAUAACAUUGUAUUUGUAUUUGAAAAACUUAUUUGUGAAAAAAGGCCAAUUCAAAUGGAGUUUAGUAUUUGAAAAACUAAUUUUUGAAAAACUGAUAGAUUCCAACAGAGCAAUUAAAAAAAAUGAAGAAAAUUAAAGAGUUUCUGUAGCAAGCCCAGAUGGCAUUGUUGGGCCGACAUGAGAAGAGGACACAAGUGAAGCUAUUCACUUUUGGACCAAGCAAUGGAAUCCUUUUCACUUUUGGAGUAAGCAACAGAUUGGACUCAUCCUGCAAGGUCCAAUAUCCAUCAGACUGUGGACAUAAUGAGUUAAUAACAGAUUACAUCAUCGUUUCAAAUUUUCCGGGAAAACAAAAUGGAUGAAGAAAACAAAGAAUACACACGCCCACCGUGGGGCUCGAACCCACGACCACAAGGUUAAGAGCCUUGCGCUCUACCGACUGAGCUAGACGGGCUUGUUGGCGAGGUUUUACCUCCAUUCUAAAUUAGUUCAAUGUAAAUAAAAUUCGAAGGCAUUUGGAUUUGGGACUAACUACUAAGCCGCAGUCUUCUGCACGGUUUUCCAUCACAUUGGUCGAUGCGUCGAAACUGCCCAAACAGAGGAAGGAAAAUAAGAUGGGAGGAGCUGUGAUCUGGACGGCGUUCGAGGUGCUUUUCAUCGUAGCAAUAAUGUUAGCAUUUGGAGUAGUUUCUGCUAUGGUCUUGGAAACUUUCCGGAGAAGAUUCAAUCACAAGUAUAGUAUUUGCUCUUUUAUCUUUUGGUUUUUUCUUCUAUACUUCGUCUACCUUUUCCUACCAAGACCUGCGGUGAAUUCGACUUUAAUGUUUCUUAUUCUAAUUCUCCGAUCUUUCUACAGUUAUUUUUUUUUCUGUGGUUGCAUUAAUUUGUGAGCAUGUUAUAUUGCUGUUUGCAGCCACGUUGAAGCUCCUCCUGUUUUCGAGGAUCCUAAUUCGUUGAACCAGGUAAUUUCGAGCACACAAAGAUCUCUUGUUCUCUAGGGGAAAGUUACAUUUUAAUGCAAUUUUAUACGGAAAUAUAAGGCUUUUGCAUUAGUUCUUAACUAGGGAGUUGGAUGCUUCUAGCAUGCUACAACUGACUAUCAAUAUAUGGAAACUAUUUAUCAUGACGACUUUAUAAAGUAGAGAGAACUCAUCUGCAACUUAUAGUUCAAUUGUUGUCUCUGUCUCUUCUACUCUUUCCCUUUCCGUUAAUUUCCUGUUGAACUCUAGGAACAUGUUUCAAUUCCUCAGGAUGCAAUUCUGCCGCUAAUUGGGGAGAUUGAUUUGGAGCCAAAGGAAUACUGGUUUAGGGGUCAACAUUACAAUUAUUAUUAUUAUUUUGGGGGUUUGGGGGAUAAGUGAUCAACAUUACGAGCUGAUAGUGGUGUAGUUGUAACUUAAUGAGUCAUAUCUAUGUUCAGUAAAUUGACUAUUAUAUGUCUUCCCUUCCAGGUUCCUUGUCCUCAUAUUUUUGAUUCCGCUGAGAAGUACAUAUCUUUGAUUGUUCCCGCUUACAAUGAAGAAAAUAGGCUUGCUGGAACUCUUGAUGAAACCUUAAAGUGAGCAGAGGCUUAGCAAAUUUUAUUUUAUUUGUUCUCUCUCUCUCUCUCUCUCUCUUCCAUUUCUAAUUCCAGUAUUCAUUUUAAGAUAAUUUUUUCUAGUAUUUUGUAUCUUCAAUGGAUGGUAUUUUUGAUUAGUUAUUGGGAAUAUGAUUUGAUCUGAUAUGCAUCAUAACUUUGAUCCUUUUGCUAGUUAUCUUCAACAGCGUGCGGCAAAGGACAAGUCUUUCACAUAUGAGGUAAAAUUAUAGAACUUGUCUGUUUUCUGCAUUUAAAUGUAUGAAGUUGAUUGAUUUUAUCAGCUUCUGCAUCUCAAAAAGACUUGUAAGUAAAACUGUAUAAACAAUAGGUUUCAUCUAUAAAAGGUAACUUAAAUCUUGUAAAGACAAGGGCAGAUAGUGGAACUGCUGCUGUUGCAGAGUGGAGGAGUAUAGUGAAAGAAGUUUUUUUGAGCACCCAGUUGUGAUGUGGUUAUGUUUUUUGCUACUUUCUGAAAGGUUGCUUGUUGUAGUGGUGAAUAAGCUAUCAUCAUUUUAUGUUUUUCUUGAUGAAAGAAAUGUACAAAUAGAACCUUACUGCUCUGCUAAUUUGGAUUAGUGAUUCAAAAACAGCUAUUACAGUUGUAAUUGCAGCAAAUUUUGCCAACAGUUAUGCUUUUUACAAAGAUAAUUUUUAAGAAAACCUGUGUUAGUUAUUGAGUAUGACUGAGGAGUUAUCCUCGAUUGCCAAAUCUGAAGGGAAAUUGAAGCUGUCAGUCUGCUUUACCAAAUCGUUCCACUUUCAAGUUUCUUUUGAAUAUGAUUUUUACAGUUCCUACCAAACAAAGUGAACUCAAGAGCAGCAGUGUUCAAUUGUGGAUUGGCUUUCCUGUGGUGGAUGUUGUUGUUAAAUGGAUUUCAAUUAGCAGAGAUUUGCAUGUUCCUUUUGCUGACUAAGGGCCUGUAGUUGAGGUGAAAGUGAAUCUUGGUGGAACCUUUAUAGCUUGUGGCAUGCAAUACGCUGACUUGCUCCUGUCAGAUUUAUAUAUUUUUGGAUUGUACAAUGCCUCGUUCCAAAGUUCUUAUUUAUGAGUUAGUUUGAGGACAAUGCAGUAAAAAGAAGGGAAUAUGAUACUCUUGUCCUUUAAAGUGCUACAUUGGCUUGAUAUUUCAUGCUUUCUAUAUCAUCCGAGUGACUCUACUCCUGUCUGGAUGAAUUUAUGUUGGAUUAGGUGAUAAUUGUUGAUGAUGGAAGUGCUGAUGGAACAACAAGGGUAGCUUUUGAUUAUGUCAAAAGAUACUUGGUAGAGAACGUUAGAGUAAUUCUUCUGGGAAGGAACCAUGGGAAGGGAGAAGCUAUACGAAAAGUGAGUCCAAUCGAGCUAUCUAUCCAUCCUUAACUAUUUAUGGUGAUGUUACUUCUUUUCUCUCUGUUUGUAAUUUGACCUCUAGUAGCAACUGAUUAAAGCUUUUUGCUUCUGUGAAAGCAUUGUAAAACAGGGAAUGCUGCACUCUCGUGGUGAAAUUCUUCUAAUGCUUGAUGCUGAUGGUGCAACAAAAGUAACUGACCUUGAAAAGCUUGAAAAUCAGGUAGGUAGUUGGGUAUGACUUCAAACAACUUGUGCUCAGUUAAAUUUCUCAUGUAUUUAUAUUAUUGUCUUUUGUUUCCCUAUAGCUGAGUUUUUAUGAUAUAUCUAAUAAUAAGCCAUCAGAUCAUUGCAGUUGCUAGGAAGGGACAUGAAUUUGGACAAUCUAUAGCUAGUGAUUCAACAUUAAGAAUAGCAGAUGUCCUAGUUGCUGCAAUUGGUUCUCGUGCUCAUCUCGAGGAACAGGCUCUGGCCACAGUUGAGUCUUGUUAAUUUUUUUUUAUGCAAUGUUAAUAUUGUUCCAUCAAAUAUGAUUGUACAAUUUCUAGGCAAGUAAAAGCUGUUUUAAUUGUGCUUCAGAGGAAGUGGUACCGCAAUUUUUUGAUGAAGGGUUUCCACGUUGUGGUUAUGUUGGCUGUUGGCUCUGGUAUCCGGGAUACACAGGUUAGAUUAUGGUCCAUAAAUUGAUUUAAGUUUUCUCCAUCUUUGUCUCUUGAUUCCCUUCUCAAAAUUGCAGGAUUAUGCUCUUCAUUUAGUUUUAACUACUUGCUCUUUUGCCAGUGUGGUUUUAAGAUGUUUACUAGGGCUGCUGCCCGGAAGCUUUUCACAAACAUCCGUUUGAAAAGGUACUAUUAGUUUUUUUCCAUCUUUGACUUUAAUCUGCUAACUAGGAACCUGGCUUUCUCCUUCAAUUAUGGUAGUAGUGCACUACCACAAGUUUUUUUAUUUUUUAUUUUUUUGUGCUUUGGAUAACUAGCAUUUCCUCUUAAAAUUUUGAAUAAUGAUUUAUUGUUCCCUCUCAUAUUUGCUUGGUCUUCAUGUCAUACUGAAUAUGACUGGUUAUUUUUUCUACAAUCUGUUAGGCUUCAGUUCAUAAAGACAGGAACACUACCAUUUUGUGAUACUGGAUUGAUCUUUUAUGUGAUGUGUACAACUUGGGUGUGGGUUAAUUUGAAGGUUGAAUGAAAGGGAGACAAGUGUGUCUCCUUUGCAUAACAUACUGGAGCUGUUCAGAUUGUGCUAUUUGAACUUUAUUCAUGUAUACAGUAUCUUGGCACACAACAAAUUAGUGAAGAGUGUAGAAUUCUUAAGCAUCAUUUGUUCAACAUAUGGAUCCAAAUUUGUGAGAAGAUACAGGAAAUAGAUGAGAGUCAGAAUGAGAGUGAGUUAGAGACAUGCUUUUCAAAUAUUGCUGAACUUAGUAAUCUAGCCUGGAACAAGACUCGAUUGCAAGGCUAUUGAGGCAAAGAGGACUAAAACCUCAUGCUUCUAGUUUCCAUUGCCAUCAUCAUCAUCAUAUAUUGAUAGUCAAUGUUCCCAUCUUAAAUUAGUAACAAUGGACUCUGGGAUUUAAGGACAUGAUUGCUAGGCCAGCCCAUUUCAGUUGCUUAUGGAGUGAUGCUGCAUCUGUUUUGAUUGAAUUCAGGUUCUGUUUUCUGGAUGAGUGCACAAUUGUCCUGAAACAUGCCCUACGCUUAGAUGUCUCAUAAUGUAAAAGGUGAUAUGGUUCUUGUUUGCCUAAUAUAGUAAUCUUUCAAGGAUAGGUAUUCUGAAGAAAUAGGAAAUUGGAAGGUGUUUAUGUCUUGGUUGACGAGAUUAUGAAUUUGUCUAAAUGUAAGAUGCUAAGGACAAAAGAAUUGCCUUUAAGAUCUGAAAUGAAAUUGCUUCAAUGGAGGUUAAGAUUAAACUCAUAUAGAUGCAUUUUGUUUGUAUAUCUGUACUUCUUGUUUUACCAUUAUACUGUUAUAACUUUGAUUUUUUUUCCUCUUGCCUUCUCUUUUGCAAGUCUGACUUUUCCCAUGCGGUAGCUAAAUUACAAUUUCUAUUACAGGUGGUGUUUUGAUGUGGAAUUGGUCUACUUGUGCAAUACAUUUCAUAUCCCAAUGGUCGAGAUAUCUGUAAAUUGGUCCGAAAUUCCGGGAUCAAAGAUUAACAUGACAAGUAUUCCCAACAUGUUAUGGGAGAUGGGACUGAUGUCUUUGGGGUAUAGAUCUGGUAUUUGGAAGAUCUAUGGCUGAGUUUGCAGCCUGGGAUAGAUGCAUCAGGGAGUUGUAGUAUGAGUAUCUCAUAUCUUAAACUCAGAAGAGAAAGGCUUACUCGGACAUACGUAAGUAGGUAGCUGGAGGUCUUGCUUUUCUUACGUCAUAGGUUUUUGCAAAGUGAUCUGAUCAAAUUUGAUAUAAAACUAACUGAUUAGCACUCAGAUUUGUCUUUUUCUUUUCUUUUCUUUUCUUUUUAAAUUGAUUUUACUCUGGGAUAACUCGCGAGGGAUAACAACGGAGUUUUGUAUGGACUGGGGCAAUGUUGGGGCCAAGCAAGAGUGCUCCCCUGUUGUUUCUGAAAAUCCAUUGUAUGCCAUACUAGUAGCGCUAUUUGCUUGAAGUCCAUUAUACGUCAUACUUGUGACAUGUGCUCUCGUUCUUUUAAAAGAAAUAUUGCCCUUGAUUCCAUUGGACAUGACAUUUUUGGCUAGGCCGCAAGCGAUUGUAGAUGCAAUUUUCACCAAAAACAGAAAAAGGGAAAAAGGCUGGUAGAGUAAGCUUAAAGAGCGAUUGGCAACUAUAUCAAUGGUUCUUACUUCGCAAGACCGCCCAUGGAACGAUUGAAGGAGGGGAAAGAAUUUGAGGUGAAUAAGGUACUAGUGAUGCUAGCCGGCAGCCGCUACGUUUCCUUCGUAAGCCUAUUGUCCUGGAAGGUUAAAAGAUAGUGGCAAGCGAAACUGGAGUACGUGGCAUAUGUUGCUUUCUUCAAAAUGCGGAAAAUUUAGGUAAACGAAUCCGGAUGGUUCGAUUUUUCACGGUUAUGUUCUACGUGCAAAUUAGACUAUUCACGCGCGAAAACAGGGAUGACGAUUUGGGAGGGUAACUUUAUUGACUUGGAGCAUCCAUAGUAAUAACCUCUACAUCCUGAUUAGAAAAAAAAGGUCAAAAAAAAGAGUUGCAUUUACCAUAAAGCGUUAGCCGGGAAGCAGACAUUAACGUAAAGACAAGCCAAGCCAUCGAAACUGACAUAUUCACUUCCAGGUUGAUAUGGCCGUAUUUUUUCUGACAGUUAUCGACAAAAGUUUAGCAUUUUAAAUUCUUUUCUAUUGGCAUAAAUUUACUUGUAAAGCAACUUUAUGUACCUCCGAUUACAUGUGCAAAUCCACUUUAUAGAUUAGUUGAUGUUAGUUAAUCGUUUUUGUAAUGGAGUAGUUGCAUUUCAUUCCAUGUUACGUAAAAGACUUGAAUGAGAUCAAUCUUUAAAGGCUCAUUUCCAUUACAUAAAUGAUUCGUUAAUCUUGAAAAGACCGACAUGGAUGGUCAUUUCUUGCAUGAAUUCAAAAGGCAAGCGUCGUUCUUCUUCAAGGACAAAAUCAAGGUUGCCCGAUUGGCUCUUCUUGAUGUUACACCAGCUCAACUGUAUGGUUUUAUUUGUAUGCAUCUGUAGAUAAUAUAUCUUUUUUUUUUUCUGCCGUUUUAGUCUGUUCGAUUAAUUUGGCUUGUCAAUUUCUUUUUUUUUUGGGCUGAAAGAUCGACAGAAGAAGCCACAAAUGGAGAUUCCUCAGCACCGGACGCACGUACGAUGAGACUUAUAUCACGUGCUGCCUUUGAAGUUGAUGAUUAUUGGAGAAUCGUUGAUGUUCUGCAUAGAAGGUUUCUCCGUUGGUUGGCUAAAUGAUUUUGUCUGGCUUUGCAUAAGCUUCACAAGUAAUCAUGCAGAAGUUCUUUAUAUAAACGAGUUCUACGCGUCUUUGAUUUGAUGCAGGUUGCAGAACUAUGAUAGACACAAUUGGCGAGCGGCCUACCAGGCGAUGAUAUUGCUGGAACACCUCCUCACGCAUGGACCAGCAAGAGUUGCAGAGGAGUUUCAAGGUGAUCGAGAUAUCAUCAGAGAGAUGGCAAAUUUGUCUUACAUAGAUGAGAAGGGGUUCGUUUAAUUAAUCCCGUGGCUUGUUGUAUAAAGCAAAUAAGAUAUGAUUAUUGGAGCUAUAAAAUCAUCUCCUAUGCAGGUUCGAUUGGGGAUUAAGUGUGCAGAAAAAGGCUGAAAGAGUGCUGAAGCUGAUCAAGGACGGGUCAUUUCUCAAGGAAGAAAGAGCAAGAGAGCAAAAAUUAACAGUGGGGAUUAAAGGGUUUGGGAGUUUCUGUGAACGAUCAAUCUUAACAGAUGAGAGUUCGAAAUGUGCAUAUUCCAAUAAAUAUUUGAGAUGUCAUUCUCACUUUUGUGAACGUCAAAGCACUGAAGAUGCUCUGUUGGCUGCGGACGACGAAAGGGUUCCAAAAGCACAGGAGAUUCGUAAUAAGCACAGAGAUUCAACAACCGAAAACCCACCACAAAAUUCCAACGGCAACAGAACCUUUGAAGAGGAUGAUCAUCCCUUCUACAGCAAAGAAGAUCAAGCUCUAGUCUCCCUGCUUUCCUCAGGGUGAAAUCGAAGUCAUGUAAACACUAUGAUCUUGUAGUUGACAUGUCAUAUCUUUUGGUAUUAUAUAGCAGAAUCAGAGUUGUACGAUAAGAUACAGUCUUAUGCUUUAAAAAAGUGAAAAUCAGGUUUUAUCUAGAGUUAAAUCAGUUCAAUGUUCACGGUAGGGAAAAGUUUCGAGUGAAAUCCCAAUCCGAAAAACAAACAAAAACCAAGAGGCAGGGCUUCACCAGAUCUAUAACCAGUGUAGAUGCCAAAAAAAAGCUCGCACAUUCUCAGAGAGAGAGAGAGAGAGAGAGAGAGAGAGAUCAGAUAGAAACAGUUGAAACUUCUACAUUGAACACAAUAAAACAGUCGGAACAUCCAGCAAUCAACUCCUCGCCAUCUCAAGGCUAUCAACCCAGAAUGAGAAUCACAAGUUAAGAGAACAAAGCUAAAAUAUAAUCUUGCAAGCUGCAUAUCUGACCCGCUACUAAAAUAUCAUUCAACACUUUCCCGCAAAAUUAGAAGCAUUUUCUAUGCACGAUUGAGGGACCAGAUUCAUCAUAUUCUGACUUUGCAAUCCACAUCUGCAAACAAAGCAAGCAAAAUAUUAACCAAAGAAUUCCUAAUUAAAGCAAACAAUCAUCUUGUUUUGUAUGUAAGGAAACAAACCUGUUGGAAGGUGCUGAGUGAUGCCAAGAUGGAUCCUCCAAUCCAGACACUGUACUUUCUCUCAGGUGGUGCCACCACCUUGAUCUUCAUGCUGCUGGGAGCUAAUGCUGUAAUUUCUUUGCUCAUCCUAUCAGCAAUGCCAGCAAACAUUGUAGAACCACCACUGAGUACAAUGUUUCCGUAAAGGUCCUUCCUUAUAUCAACAUCGCACUUCAUGAUGGAGUUGUAAGUGGUUUCGUGGAUUCCUGCAGCUUCCAUUCCAAUCAUUGAAGGCUGGAAGAGGACCUCAGGGCAUCGGAAGCGCUCAUUACCAAUGGUAAUCACCUGCCCAUCAGGCAAUUCAUAGCUCUUCUCUACAGAAGAACUAGUUUUUGAAGUCUCUAUCUCCUGCUCAUAAUCAAGUGCAAUGUAUGCCAGUUUUUCUUUAACAUCUCUCACAAUUUCCCGCUCUGCUGUGGUGGUGAAAGAGUAACCACGCUCAGUGAGGAUCUUCAUUAGGUGAUCAGUGAGAUCACGACCAGCCAAGUCAAGACGGAGGAUGGCAUGUGGCAAGGCAUAACCCUCAUAGAUGGGAACGGUAUGGCUGACACCAUCACCAGAGUCCAACACGAUACCUGCAACAAGAUCAUGACAGCAAAGCAUUGGUUUAACAUAGAAAGAAACCACAUUUGAUAUUCAUGACCUUUUCUGAGAAUUUCCUAUUGACUCUAAAGCAUCCAAAAGCUGGUCCCAAAUAGAUUUAUGAGAAUUCACAUGAUUACACCGCAAAAAAUCUCUACCAAAAACAUUCAAAAUUAUGGCAUUUUCUGAGAGAGACUUUUCACAGCAUAUCUGGAAGGACAUUAAGGAGGUAUUCCACAAGCAGCACUUUCUUAAGCCAUCCAGAUAACAUAUUUGGCCUGGACUUUAUGUUGUAUAAACAUUAGCGAUCUAUAGCAGCUAAUUAGUGUAUCCUAUAACAUAUGCAGUCAUGAAAAUUUUCAGAUUUAUUUCCAGAUUCCUUUUUUUUUCCUUUUCACAUUCUUCACUCCUUUUUUUUUGUUGGGGGGGGGGUGUGGUGGUGGUGGUGGAGGGGUUGAGGGAUUGGUUGAAGACAUUUAGAAACCAAAAGGUGUAAAUCAAAUGCUGAAAAACAAAAUGCUUACCUGUUGUCCGACCACUAGCAUAUAGGGACAGAACAGCUUGGAUGGCAACAUACAUAGCAGGAGUGUUGAAUGUCUCAAACAUUAUUUGAGUCAUUUUUUCACGGUUAGCCUUAGGAUUUAGUGGUGCUUCAGUUAAGAGGACAGGGUGCUCUUCAGGUGCCACACGAAGCUCAUUGUAGAAAGUGUGAUGCCAUAUCUUCUCCAUGUCAUCCCAAUUGCUAACAAUACCAUGCUCAAUUGGGUACUUAAGAGUCAAAAUACCUCUCUUUGAUUGAGCUUCAUCACCCACAUAGGCAUCUUUCUGGCCCAUCCCAACCAUCACACCAGUGUGACGGGGGCGACCAACAAUACUUGGGAAUACAGCGCGUGGAGCAUCAUCUCCAGCAAAUCCAGCCUUGAAAAAUCAAAAGAGACAGUAAAAAAAAUCAUAAAAAAAAAAAAUUGACACUGAAGAUGAGGGAUAGAGCACAAAAGAAGCUCAAAUCACCAAGGAACAUGAUCGUAAAAAGUUGGAACUCUAGUUCUGCAAUAAGAAAUACCAAAAUAAAUCCUGUAGUACCUUAACCAUUCCUGUCCCAUUGUCGCACACAAGUGGCUGGAUAUCCUCUCCUUCGGCCAUCUUAUGCUACCUCCUGUACAAAAUCACAGCUUUCUUAAGACAGUACACUCCUACCAGAUAUUCUUUUGUUUCCGUAUUUAUCUUUUCCCAUUCUAUAAAUAAAUACAAAACUAUUUGAAAGAAGCAGUUUAGUAAAAUAACGAAAUGGUUUUAUUCGACCCUCCCUCCUUUCCGUUUUGCUUCCAGUACGGUAUGGGCUGGGAACUCAGGAACCUCAUAAGGAGGACUGGAAAUAACAGAAUAUAGAAUAUUAUGCACCGGAUACAAUGAACUUUAUCUUUUUUGCUACUUUUUUGGGAGGAAGUAGGUGAUCCAACGUGUCACGCACAGAAAAAAUGAAUAAAAAUUCCUGAAUUAUGACAUAAAAAUAAAAUGUGGAAACAAAUAUUAGAGAGUGAAACACAUAAAACAGCUCAAGUUUCAAAAGAAAAAAAGAAAUUUUUUUAAGAAAAUAGCUAUCACAUCUCAUCAAAUACAUGCAACAUACAAAUAUACAUAAAAAGAGAGGAAAAAGAGAAGAAAGAAAAGGAGUGAGCUUCAAAAGAACUGAGAAGCACAUCCAUGUACAAUUCUGCACAUAAUCAUCAUGUAAACACAAUAUACAUUCGAAUCAAUUUUACUUUCGAGAUUAAAGAAAAUGGCAAAGAAUCGAAUGCCACAAGUUAGAUCGGAUCAAAAAGCAUAAAUAACACAACCAAAGGCUCACAAUUAUCAAAAAAUUGUUCAUUAAUCACCCAGUCUUUCUCGAAAAGACUCAAUAAAAAUGCUAUUAAUGCACAGAACCCACAUAUCCUAAAACAAAAAUGCAAGCAAAAGAUCCAUUAAAACCACAAAUAGACUACCAUUUUAGCGACAUGCAUUUCGCAUUUCACCCAAAAACUCGACGUUCCACAAAUAUAUGCCAAUCAAUAGUAGCAUAAAAAAUCUCUUAAACACCACAUCACGGCGAGAAAAGGAAAAAAGAAAACAUAAAAAUUAAUUCAGAAACUCGCUUAUGCAUAAGAAAUGUGAUCUCAGCUGGAUCAAUCAGAGAUCAAGAGCUACACUGUACAAAAAAAGCCAAAUGCAAAAUGAAUUAAACAACAAAUGCACCGAUUCAAAAGUUUAAAAAAUCAAGAUAUAAAAUGAGGAGCAAUUGUACAAAAUGAAAGGAAAUAGUAUACCUUUUCGAGUGCGUAAAACAGAUGAUUGAGGGCAAACGAAAAGGAGAUAAUAAUAGAACAGAAAAUGGUGGGUGGAGGAAAUGGCCUCCUCCUCCUCCUCCUCCUUAGCACUGUGGAUUUGGGGAAAAAAAUGUACAGCUAAAUGAGUUGCGCUCCCGUGUUCUCACUUGGGAACUGAGAAAUUUGAGGGAUUAUAAUGAGGAAGGGCGACGAAUCUGGACCGUUGGAUGGCGCCCAAAACUCCAACAGUCUGGAUGUGCGGACAGGGAUGACACGUAGCGAUCGUGGGGGCUAUAAUUUCUUCCUCUUCUUCGUGGUGUCCACUGCCGCCUCCUUUUCCGCUUUUUCUUUCAUUUUUUCUCUCUUUUUCCGGUUCCCCUCAGACCCCUACCUCUCCCCUUCCCCCUUUCUACAUAUUAGUACCAGUAAAUCAAUUUAUUAUUAUUAUUAUUUUAUUGUAAUAGUACUACUAUUUUUUGCUACUAAUAUCUCUUUCUAUUCUAAUUGUAUAUCCUAUUUUUAAUUCGGAGCUUGGAGAUUAUCUCCCAAAAACAUUUUUUAUUUUGAUUUGGACGUUGGUUUUAAGUUGACUGGGGAAAUGAUUGGGAUUUAAAAUGGACUAGAGACAGAAAUUAGUUGAACGUGGACAUGUUAACGUACUACAAAAUUUCUCAAUUUCGAAGAGGGAAAUGAGGGAGGUGAAUUUUGAGAGGCAAUUAUUACGGUUUUGUUUGUGGAUAUUAGUCAAUUUCUCCCGCAACUAUUUUGUGGCUAUUUACUUGCUACAUCUAUGGACCUCACAUGUCCUAUUUGGAAGUGGAUUUAAUUAAAUGCCCUUUACCUCCUAUCUAAUGGGAGGCUCUCUCGACCCAUCAAAAUUUGUUGCAACCCCAAAACCAAAGCAUACAUAAUAGUUAGGGUUAAUUCCACUUUGUCCCCCCAAACUUUGGACGAUUACCCACUUAAGUCCCUAAACUUCAAAAUGGGACACUUAAGUCCCUAAACUUAUAAAUACCUUCCACUUAAGGAAAAUUGUUAACAAAUCCUGAAUGUCGUUGGUGGUCGAAGUGUCCCAUUUUAUAAGGGUUUAGGGUUAUAAGUGUCCCAUUUUAUAAGUUCAGGGACUUAAGUGGGAGGUAUUUAUAAGUUUAGGGACUUAAGUGUCCCAUUUUGAAGUUUAGGGACUUAAGUGGAUAAUCGUCCAAAGUUUGGGGGGACAAAGUGGAAUUAACCCUAAUAGUUAGUAUUAACAAGCACCUCAGAAACUACUCUGCGAAUUCUUUUUCAUCUUUAGUGGAGUAGCUUCUCUGUGAAAUAAGCAACUCUUUUUUGGACAAAUGCUGCAUUACAAUUUACACUUGCAUUAUUAUCAUUGGCAAUCUCCUAACAUUUUUUUUUUUUUUGUGUCUAAAGGUUUCUCAGUUUACAUUAGUGGGGAUAACAAAUGGUCUUUUUGACAAUUUGUGAAUAGUAGCAUGUUUCUAUAUGCCAUAUAUGCUCCUCCUACCGAAUUACAUUGUAUGACUGUUUCUUGGUUAUACUCAAUGUGGGGAAUGGAUAUGAUUGAAAUUAUUGAUUUUCCGGUCUCGAAUGGAUAAGUUGAUGAGAUAAAAUUCAAAUCCAACAAAUAAAAGUUUGAUAAAAUAAAAUUCAAACUCAACUGUUUAUGAAUAAAACCCAAAUACAACACUUUGCGCGCUGGCAUUGGGGAAUGCGCUUUCCAAGUAUAUAACAACCUAAAAGAUAAGAUGACACGUGUGAUGUCUUGAAAAAUCUAAGGCCCUUUCUGUGACAUUAAUAUGGAGAUACUAAAUCCUCUACUUUGGUAGCAAAUGUGCAUCAUGUAACAACCUAUGUUUUCAGAACCGGACCGGAUAGCGACUCGGCCGAGGUCAUGGGUCAGGGGUCAAUGGAUUCGACCGGGGGUCGAUAGGGGUCGAAUCGGAUGACGUCAUAAAUAAAAAUUAUUUAAAAAUUAAAAUAUUAUAUAUAUAAUAUCUAAUAAUAUAUUGAUAUUAAUAAAGGUAUAUUCAUAUAUAUUUGAUGUUUCAAAUAUAUUUAACAAGAAAAUACAAAGAAAUUAGAACAAUCAAGUAGCAAUUUAUAUUAUUUAAUAAAUAUUAACAAGUUUAGAAUUAAAAUUAUGAAUUAAAUUGAAAAAUAACAUCAAAUUUUAGGACAAUACUUAUAAAGUAUCAAAUAUUUGAGGUAUAUCAAUAAGUUUUAACAAUUUAGGGGGUCAAAACAUAAUAUUAAAAAGUUUGAAUUUUUUUUUUAAAAAUUACUGUUGAACUGGAAAAACCGAUUUUUUCCCGGUCAAACCCGGUUUUUGACCGGCUUUGACCGGGUUUUAAAUUUCCGGUUUUUUAAUAUGACUCGGACCGGCUACCUGGCCGGUUCCCGGUUCGACCGGCCGGUCCGGUCCGAGUUUUAAAACAGAGGUAAUAACAACCGGAGGUGGAUCAGAGACGAGCCUUUUCCUCAUUCCAUCUCAACACAGUUGUCAUCCUCGGCACUUUUUUUUUUCUAUUUAAUUAAGGGCCUGUUUGGAAGUGUAGUUUUUUAGCAAGUUUGUAUAAAAUUAGUUUUUUAACAACUUUUGCUACAGGAAUCCCAAAAAACUUCUCAAAGUUUUUUACUUGCACACUUCAAAAAUCUAAUACACAAAAAAUUUCCCUUCAAUUUUUCUUCUUUUUCCUCCCUCACCCAACCCACCACGCCAGCCACCAUCUCCACCACCUCUCCCGGCGCCGGAAUAGGUGGCCGGCGCCGGUCACCUUAAAAGUUUUUUUUUUCUGUCCCUCUCCCUCACCCCCUCUCCUCCCCUCCCCUCCCCUCUUCCCCUCUCCCUCCCCCGCCACCCUCCCCCUCCCGCUAGUUGCGAUCUGGUCGCGCGACCAGAUCGCAAAGGGAAAGGGGGAGGGGACCAGAUCCCCCUCCCCUUUUGCAGUCUGGUCGCAGAUCACAGCUAAGGGAGGGGGAGGGUGGCGGCGGAGGGAGAGGGGAAGAAGGCGAGAGAAAAAGCUAAAAAUAAAAAAAUCCAUGGUCGGCCUUCCUCUGGCGUUGGAAUGCGAGGGGGAAGGGAGAGGAGAAGGAAAGGGGAGGAAAGGGGUGGCGGUGGAGGAGAGGGAGGGGUGGCGGGGGAGAGGGGAGGAAAGGGAUGGUGGGCAGAGGGGGGUGGCGGGGGAGGGAGAGGAGAAAAGCAAAAAAAAAAAAAAAUUUGUAUGUGUUUGCAGAGUUCGGGAGAGGGAACAUGGGAGGAAGAAGGGGAAGGGAGAAGAAACGGGAAGGGAGGAAGGAAAAGAAAAAAAAAGAAAAAAGAAAAAAAAAGAAAAAGAAAAAAAGUUUUUUCAUCCCACAAAGGUCCGUUUGGCCUCCAAAGUGGCUUCCUUGAACAUUUUUCAGUGAUUAUUUCUACUACAGCCUCCACAUAUUUGUAAAGUGCACGUCCAUGUGAUUGCCAAAUCAGGGAUCAAGAAUCAGCGUAGAGCCAAGAUUUUCAUGCAAGGAACUAGCGCAACUUUUACACCUGUACAAUGUCCCAUGGCUUAAUCAUAUCUGCUGUUGUUGGAUCAUGGAUGAUGAACUUGCCUUUUGAUCUUUGGACACUUGACACUAGCAACAAUCAACAAUUGGAGCCGCACAAGUAUCCAGUACACACGCAUACGGUAUAUUGCUAUGGAACCAGUAUAUCAGGGCGUUUAAAACGAUAAGCAGGAGAAAUAUGAAAUACGAUCAAAAUUCUAGAAAAGAAAAAUAUGAAAGUACAUAUAAUGAUUGAAAAGUGGUGCUAAUGACAUUGACAGCAAAAGUAGCACCGACCAUUCAGAGGUUAACUGCAACCAAAGAUGGUUCUAAGGAAAGAAAUGAAAGGAACAGUACCACAUUUCAAUUGAAGCUUGACACAAAAAUGAGCAAAGGUGAAAAUAUGAUCCAUCUUUUGGAUCAAUUUAAUCUGAACUGACUGCGCACAACCAUUAGCACAUCCGACCAAACUCAUAAUCUCAUUGCUUGAGCAUCACUUCUGGCCUGCCAAUCACUUACAGGAAUGGGGGCAAUAUCACCCAUCUUCGAGGAUACUUGGGUCUCCCGUCCUUUCCAUCAAAUAGCUGCAAAGUAAAGUGAAAAUGAACAUCAAAACAAAGUGAAGAACAGACUAACACGAGUGAUCUCAAUUCAUUACAAUUACACUGGUAGUGAAUGUUCUGUCAAUUUCUCUUUUUUUUUUUUAAAAAAAAAAAAGGCUCUACAACUAGAUAGAGAGUUUGGAGCGAUAAUGAAAUUGAGGAAUAGCUUCAUACUGCAAUGAUGCAUAGAUUUAUUAAAGCAACUACAGUGACUACACAAGCCACCAGAUGAAUAACUUAGCAAAAUGGUCAGACUCAGAUCAUUGGGGAAGUUCAUACUAGCAGACACUGAAAAGGAGAGAUUCUGCUAUGGCAUCUUGUGCAUGUAUUUCAAAACAAAAUUUACCCACAGUAACAGCAAAAGGUUCAUGAACAAGACAGAUAGUUUAGUGAUCUAAGAAGCUGGUGAUAGAAUUGUACAUUUACAUGCAUAGGAUUUUAAUUUUUUUAAUCUUCUAUCAAUUAAAUACAUAUAUCUCAUUAUGAAGAACGUUUAGAAGUCUAUCCCCUCUGGAUAUACACAAGUUUGGAUCAAAGUAAGAACAAAAGAAGGCUACCUUCCUCAAUCGUCUGUGCUUUGCAAGUGCCCAGUUAGUCAUAAUGGCAGCUGCAACAACCAUGAAAACAUAGCCAGCUACGGUUUGCAUUGCAAUGUUGAAUCCCAGCCACUGGUAAAUUUCUGUGGUGUAAUUGGCACAUGUAACGAUAUUGAAAAGGAAGCCACGUGGGAUUUGAUAUCCUCCACUACCAUCAGCAGGACGAAGCUUUCUCAACAAAAUAUGGCAAUAGAAGUUUGCCAAUUGACAAGCCAACCCGAUACCAAAGCCAAUCUUCACUUGGAGAUCACUAACAGGCGUGUAAAGUGGGUGAUUGACAUAAUAAGCAAUAUAGGAGCCAAAGCUCCAGUAAUAAGCACAAUUACGGAAGACAUUUGAAAGUGGGGAAGUGGCAUGGCUGAAACGGUGCACGAAGAAUGUUUCCAUGAUACGCUUGAAGUAGUGGAAACACCAGUAGUAUAAUGCAUAUGUCUGAACAGGGUGGAUGACACGCUUGCCUUUAUAGCCGAAAAAUUGAUACACAUUGAAGAAAUAGAAAAGAGGAUAAAGAAUAAGAGGCCCCAAGUAUUCCCAGAAGAAAAGUGUGCUAUAGGCAACCUGUAGACCUAGGUCCUUGAACACUACAGUCAACUCAUUUGUGCUCUCACCAAUGUACUCUUUAAGACUCUUCUUGUAGUGAAGAAUGGUAGGCUUCUCCUUGGAUCCAGGUGGGAGAGGGAGGGUGAGUCUUUGUCGAGAAGGAUAGUAUCUCUUGGCUGUUAACAAAAACGAGAUUAAUACAACACCUCAUACGGAUUAAGGAACAAUUACCAGAAACAAAGAGACAAAACAAGCUACAGACAAGUAGUCCAGGAAAAAAAAAAAAGAAAAAAGAAAAAAACCAAAGCAAGGAGCAAUUCAAAGGACCAAUGCUGUAAACAAUCAAUGAGUUUCAGAUGAUCCAAUAUGUGGAUGUUCUGGCACUGAAGAGCAUUGUCACCAAAUGACCAGGAAUCAUGAUAAAAAUUUGAAUCUUGAAGCUCUAAAAGUAAACCUUAAUAAUCAGAAGUGUAUAAACUUUUUUUCACCCUUUAAUUUGUAUAAGUUGACUGUGAAAUAUCUCUAAAUGCGCUACACAAUUCUACAGAAUGGAAAAGCAAUUGAGAAACUUGAUGGCACUAGCCUCAAAAUUAAAAAAUGCCCACAUUGUCACAGAAUGUUAUAAUUCUGUGUGCUGCUCAAACAUCCAAUGCAACUAAUGAUCUGAAGAUAAAAUCUUCCAUAUUUAACAAUAUAAACAUCAAAAUUAAACUCAUGAAUAGCGUAGCAACUAUUCACAACAUUAUCGUACAUGCACAACUGUAUGCAUUUACUUUGAUCUUUCACAAUUGUUUAGACUCCUGACAGUGAGGAUUUGAUUCUAUGAGAAAGAAAUGAAACAUUUCAUGGUUACUAGUAAAGAACAACGCUUGGAAAACUAAGUUCACUAAGGAAAGCCCUGUACAUUUGACAGGGUUCUGACAGUCUUCACAGGGGAAAGUUUGGCCACUUCACCUCACUGCCGUUGCUCAAUGAGUCCAUAAUGCUCAUGAGAUGAACCCCGAUGGCGGAGAAACUCAAGAUUCAGAUCAAUGUGGCCUAUCAAUAAACCUUAGAUUUUAGCUUCGCGAAAGGGCCAUCUGCCCUCGAUCUUUACAAAAGAGGCAAGAGAAAGUGUAAGAAAUCUCAGAACUUUCGCUCCUUCCCACAGUCAAUUUUAAGAAAGGUUCAAACUGGAUAUUUCUAUCCAUUCAAUUGAAAAAAAAUAAAAUCGAACGAAAACACGGCUAAUUGACCCAGAAGAUAGUAGGAUUGAACAAUAAUAACAUACUGCUUGUAAUAGUAAAAAUAAACCGUGCCAAUGUCGAGAAAUGGGUAUGUUUGGAUUGUGGACUAUUUUCAAAAAUUUAUUUGCUGGCAUGAUCAACCUAUUUUACAAACAUUUUUUUUAAUCUCACGGGCAUCACAUAAAAAAAAUACUAUAAUAUCUACUAUCCAGGUAUAAAAAAGAGGGAAACUUGCAAGAACAAGCAGACUUGCACAAGCACUCGUAAUAACAAACACGAAUUCAGCUCAGAUUAUAAACCUCGAAAAUAACGAAACCCAAGAAAGCAAAGCAACGUGAGAAGCAUUUUCUACUGACUUACUUCGCUUAUGGAUUGCCUCCUGAAGAUCAGCAACAGUAGCCUACAAGGACAGAGCCCAAAAGCCAUCAUAUUUUCUCUCAAUUCUAGUGUUGCAAAUAAAAAAGACGACCCCUUUUAGCUAAAUUGAGAAAAUAACAAGAGAAGAAGAGGACAAAUAGAAUAGCAUACGGAAUCAUCGAGGUCAAGGCCACCCUUUACUAGUUCUCUGCCGCUACGUGUAACAACCGUCACCUUCAUCCUUCAAAGAGUAAGCCUCCGACAGACACAGCGAGAGAGGGUACAAAAGUUCUGAGAGGUGGAACGAAGAUCUGAGGAUCGCUGGUGUUUCGGGACUGGGGGGGGAGUUAUAAAUAUAAUAAUUAAUUAUAAGAGUACUGAAAUGUUUAUGACGAUGAAAAAUGCUGAUGGGGGUGGGGGCGGAGCACGUGAGUUGGCAAAUGAGUGGGCGUUGCCUUGAAUCUAAUUUCGAUCCAAUGGCAGUAAUUAAUGGCGUGUGGUUGGGAAGUAGAUAAACAGCCCAUUCGCACCGAUGAACCACCUUCCCGCUACCGGUCCUAUUCUGGUAGUACUACGCCACUACAGUUCACGAAUAUCUGAAAACAGAAAAAUCCUCAGUCAAUUCAUGGGCUCUUUCCCUGAUUUGACUACCCUGUUCCAACUUUUAGAGCAAUCAAUUCUGUUACUUCGGAUUAUUGGACCAGAUACAAGAAUUAUUACACACAACAACCAACUGGACUACUAUUGUUCCAGUGAGGAUUGUGCGAGGGAACUACUAGGUUCAUUAAUUAAUUCAACAGAAUUGGACUUGACAAUACUCAGCACGGCAAGUAAACAAAUUAUAUGUAUGCAAGUGGGAUUAAGGCCCUAUAUUUUGAAGAAAUGUACUCUCAAGAAAUGACUUGACGAACCGCUGUAACAAUCCAAUUUGCUGAUUCUUGUCAUUUCUCCAACCCCUAACCUUUUAAGGAGAGAUUUGAAAGGAAGUAUGUGGAAGAAAAAAGCAGUUUUAGAAUCGGUAUUUUCUUCUAAAAUGACUUAUCAUUGGCAGUGGCUAUUAUGUUCUUGCAUUUCUCCUAAGUUAGAUAUUCUGAGAUUUUUUUUUUGCUUCACACAAAAUUUUGCGCUCGGUGGAAAAGAACAGGGUGGGAUUGCCAAUUACUCCGGUUUGUCAUGGGAAUGGCAUAUCAAUUAGUAUGCAACAUCAACCAUGCAUAUUUAAUACAAACAGUUGAUUACACGUGCAAUUUGCUUGUAAGUAUCAAUUAUAUCUAAUUUGACAAUAAAAUACGGCUGAAUUUACUUCAAUUUUUCCUUUGCAUAACUGCUAAUAUUAGUAAACAGUAGUCGCAAAGACAAGCCAAAUACUACACUAAAAAUUAUUGCAAGGAUUUGGGGAUUGAGAAUGAGCUCAAAGACAGUUGCAGUUCUCCAUCUCUAACUUGAUGUGGAUUAUUAACAUGCCCUAGACACGUCACGAAGAGAUCAAACUUGAACCGAAAUUCAAAUACUAGAAGACAAGUCCCCACCAAAAAAAGGAAAAAUGGGGAUCCAAAUCACAGUGGAACUCAUGAAAUUGUAUAUACUUAAAAAAAGUUUCAAAUGUAUAAAUUUAUGAAGCACCACUGCUGGUACUGGUAGUGAGUGACUCCUGAAUUACACCUCAACAGACAAGUGAAACUGGAAAUUCAUCAGUGUUUUUCCACGGGUUCUCGUUGAGCCCCAUCAACGCUUUUCUCAAUUGGAGGCAAAGUCUGCAAGCUCACCAGCAAACUACAUUAGAGGCUAACUUCACAAAAAAGGUCCCAGUUAAAAAUACUAGUAAAACUCAAGAGGAAAGUUUCGCACGGUUCGUCUGGGCAUUUUAUCGAACAGUUGUACAGCUGUGUGAGUAUUUAGAGGGAGAGAGAAGGGGGGAGGGGUGUUACCAGAUCAGGCUUAAAUAUGUUGUGGACGACCGAGGCACCGGCGAGGAGCGAAACGAUCACGACUGCGCACGACCAAGGUAACGACGGCGUUCCAGUUGGCGGUUUCCCCCCUCCAAAUUUCUGAUUCAUUUUCCACUUCCCAAGUUCGCAAUUCCCUUGUACAAGACGCCCUCCAGUCGGAGUCGCCAGAAAGAGCGUUAUACACUUGAAUGCUUGAUAAUUAUCAGGCCCAUUAUGAUAACAGAUGUCUUUCCAGGAGCCCAAACGUAUAUUCUUUGGGAUGUGUUCCCAACGGCCAGAUCAAUGUCCAAUGUCCUCUAUCCGUCGGGAUAAAUCUGUGCUUGACUUCCCCGAAACUCCUCGCGGCCCAAAAUAAACUGCACAAAAGAAAAUGUCAAAGUUUUGCUUUAUUUCGCGAGGAAUAAUUUUUUUUUUCUGUAAACAAACCGAAGCAAAAAAUUUUUUUUUUUUAAAAAUCACAAUAACCCGUGGAGCUAGUUCGCAAAAGUUUUUCAAAUGUAUAAGCAUUUAUCUUUUCGAAUAAUGUUCUUAAGAUAGUUUUCUUCAUAAUAUUAGAUAACUUUAUUGCACAAAAAGAAAAAUAAAAAAAAGAACUCUCAGAAUUUAGAUGUUAAUUUGAAUUUAAAAUUCAAUAGUGAUGGUUUAUAUUGUUAGUAUAUAUAAAAUUUACUCUAAAAUAAUUUUACUGGAUUCAACCAUCUAGACUUUUUUGCUGGUUUUUAUUUUUGUGCUACUCCGUAGUUUGGAGAUGUGACAGUUUCUUAGGCCACAAGAAACCCCAAACAUGCAUGCACCACCGCGUCCAAAACACGUAAUCCUGGUAGAUGAAAAAGGAAAUCACUGGAGAAUUUCGCCACAAUUUAGCUGCAAGUUUUUUUCAUUAUUUACACAAGGUUCACAAUACACGUCAACUCAAUUACCUCAUCAAUUUUCCUCCAUAAAUAUACCAGAGCCAGGAGGGCAUACUGUAUCUAUCUACAUAUUCUACAGCCUGCAAAAUACAAUCAACUGCUGGAAACUGUCCGUAUAAAUGUAAGUUCUUGAAUUAUUUUUCAUAUAUGAUAAUAAGCUUCGUCGUCUUUGUUUACCAAUAGUCCUUAGGCACAUCAUCCUGUGGAGUUAUAUGAAGUGGUUGCACCAAAAUAGGAGUUUGUCCUCUGCGAGAAGAGAUCUAUAAUAUAUGAAUGACCCUGAAUCUAUUCAAUUGCAGUAUUUUGCUAUCCCGGAGUACGUAGGAAAUAGGAAAUGGCUGGAUUAUCUGAAACACGCAAUUACUAUUAUUAUUUUUUAAAUUUCUCCUUCUUUUUUUUUUUUUGUUCUUUUUGAACAUAUUAAGCUUAAGACCCCUAGAAGAAAGUUCAGAGCCCGAUUACUUCUUUCUUCUCUCUUGUAUUUGGAGUACAUUUGCAUUUUUCUGCUGAAUGCCUUUGAAUGCUUUUAAUAUUGUCAACGCUUCUAUCAAAAAACUGAACCCUGACAAUUCUUUGAUUGUCUUUUUUUUCUUUUUUUGCUGUUUUGGUUCAAAUUUAAGGAACAUAAACAUAUAUGCACACUAUAAUCUACAUCCUGAAUAUAUUUUGACGUAAUGGAGCACAAUAUCUUAAAGAAUAUCAGUUAGAAUAAAAGAUAUUGAAUCUGUACAUAUUUUUUUCUUUAAAAUAAAUUGGCAAUCUAUAUAUGAUUUUGCUAUUAAAAUUGUUACAAACAUGGUAAGGUGUUCUCUUUUGCUUUCCCUAAGCAUGUGGGAUUUUUUUUUCUAUGUUGUAUGAUUGAAAGGACACAGACUUUCCUAGGUCUUUCUUUACUCUUGAAUUGCUGGAAUGCUAGUCUUGCAAAGUAAAGGUAAUAAUAAAUUUUAGGGUAGUUAAAGAAGAGACCGAGGUCCUCAAGCGCUAAAUAUGAAGUCGUUGGUUCUUACUAUGAAAGUAAUUUAUUAGAGCUUAUAUGCUGUUCAACUGUAUUGUUAUAAAUUUUUGUGAAAACCACUAAUAUGCGUUUUGUGUCCUAAUAUAGUCUACCUAACAAUUCAAAAGUAAAGUAGAUGAAAACUUCUGUUUGUUCAAAUAUAUUCAACAGCAGUUGGUGGAUUGAAUAAUAACGCGGACGUAUUCUAAUACAAACCUCAUGCAAAUAUCUAGAAGUGGUACUGUUGUACCUAGUCGCUACCUGAUUAGUCCUCUUGUUGUGUAUUUUCUGUGGGAGCUAGGGCAGAAUAAUGAUCAAUGCUUGCGCGUUAAUCUUAAUUUAUACUUGCUGUACCUUAUGUCCGAUUGCCCUUUAAUUUUAUACAGAACGCAGCUAUAACCCAAACAAAUUUGUUCCAUAUUUCGGUCAAUGGCUUACUCUCUGCCCUUGGUUGCACCAAGCAACUUCAUUCUCAAGCUUAAAAUUCACUGCUCGAAAUGCGAGAAUAAGCUGAAGAGGAUGCUGCUAAGAGCUCCGGGUGUUCAUUCUGUUAGCAUAGACGCAAAGCAAGGAACUGUUGCUAUCUCAGGCAAUGUGGCGCCUUCCACAAUCUUGAUGUUGCUUGAAAAGGGAGUAGGCAGAAAGGCGGAGCUUUUGUGGGAGCAAAGCCCUUCUGCUUCCUCUACUUCUUCAAAGCUAGAUGGCCAGAAUUUAGAAAUUAUAGCGGAAUCGAAAGUGUUUGAUGAACGAUUUAAUGACCCGAAUGUGGUAGCCCAAUUGGAGCGACUGUCAGGAAUCCAAGGGUUGAAAAAUAUUCAGGUAACCUAUUCCAAGACCAUUAAGUUGAGCUUCAAGGGUGAAAAAGACGAUUUAAGUGACAAAAAUGUGGAAGUUACUGCUCGGGACCAGGGUAGUGGGAUUUUUUGUGAGGCUUCUGCGUCGUGUUGCGGUGGCCAUAAUCAUGGUGGUGUGCAUAGGAAUGUGCACGGAAAUGGAAUUGGCGGAUGCUGUGGAAAUCAUGCGGCUGGUUAUCCCAUUGCUUCAUAUGUUUGCCCUGUGCACAGUUGUGACGGAAAUUCCUACUGGCCGCCACAUGCAUGUGGAUCUGUACCUCCACCGGCUCCGCAACCACCGUGUCCUGGUUGUAGUCCAUCAGCCCCGCCUCUGGGGACUACUUAUGAUACCCCGCCUCCACCGCCGCCACCAGCUUCAAUGGGCUAUUCGUACUUUAGCCCUUUCAGCGAUGAUAACCUUUCAAGUGGCUGCAACAUCAUCUGAUGCUAAAAUACUACUGCGCAUACAUAUUAUGACGUAGCUUCAAGAAUAACGAGCACAUGGCCAAACUCCAGCAAUUGGCGCACCUAUUCAGCUUGCUAAUCAUUUCUUUUCUUAAACAAAGAUAUUUUGGCUUGAAUUGAUGUUGCGUCAUUAAUUUGAGUCUGUAAAAUAUUCCACCGGUUUGUACAAAUUAUAACUUUGAUUAUCUGCGUUCCUCCAUUUUCAUGUAAUUUCUGACAGUCUUGCUGCAAGAUGUCAAAAUAUAAAUGUGUGACUAUUCUUCCACAAGGCUAGUAAAAGCUUCUUUUUCGGUUCUCAGUCAGCCGAAACAUUUAAUCGAGUUCACUAAAAUGAGAGUCAAUAAAAAAAAAAACAGAAAAAAACCGAUUGCUAUUAAUUUUUCAUGCACAUUAAUUUGCAACCGUGAGAUACAAUAACUUGGUGGAAAGGGGAAAUAGUACUGCAAAAUAUUUAAUCCCAAAUUCUGCGGGAUUCGAUCCCUGGAAUGAUUAAGCUCUCUUAGGGAGAGAGAAAGCUGAGAAAAUUGACGAUAUUGCAGCGAACAAGAAUCCUAGUAGACAAAGGCUGGUGGCUGCAUCAGCCUUGCUUAAGAAUUUAUCAACCCCAGAAUCACUCCGAUCUACAAGUCUCUUAAAAUCUUGGGUCAUACCGAAACUCGCUGCAGCGCCCGUUGCAAGUACGUAUGAUAUAACCUGGAAAGCCAAUUUAUAUAGUUAUUAUGCAGUUUAUAAUUAGAAUAAUGUUCAUUUUAUAUUGUCCUGGAGUUCACAUCUUGAUCUAGACUUUCUUUUAAUGGCCAUGGCUGUUAAAAGAAAAAGCAGGGAAGCAUACGCGUAUUGGACCAGUCAACCGUUAACAAGUCAGCGAUGUUUCUUAAUUGAAUUGGUUAAUUAGUCAAUCAAUUUCACAUGUUCGAUUCACGAUUUUGUUUAGGAAAAUAUGGCCAUAUCAGUGGUGGAUUUAAGGUGAGGGCCCCUUAAAUUCUUAUAGUACCUAUAAAAUUUUGAUAUAAUAUCAAGUGUGUCUCUUGAAUUUUUUUAGGAAGGAUGUAAAAAAAAUUACGUGGUCCUCUAAAUUAGUUCAUAAGUUAAAAAUUUUAAAAGAAUAUGUGGGCUAUAAAAUUUCAUUUAAAGUAAACUGAAAAAAGCUUUUUCAUUUCAACUUAUUGGUGAAUUUUUUUUUUUUUUGCUUAAAAAACUAGAAAAAGAGUAGGUAAAAAAUUUUAAUGUUGUUUUUGUCUCCACUGAGAAUUUUUUCUGGCUCCACCAUUGGACCAUAUUUUCGAACCCUUUUGAGCAAAGUAUUUUCGAAACCUGAAAGCUAAGAAAGAACGGGAACAUGUAAUAUCAAUUCAGGCUAACUGUAAUAGUAUGCUUAUGAAGUCCUCCUAAUAUGCUCUAAAAAAAUGUUAUGUGCCAAAAUUGUAUGUAAUUAAAAUCAGAAGUAAUAGAAAGAUCCAUAAAAUCAGUUAACUUCUUGGAAUCAAUCCGCUUACAGCUACUUGCUAACCCUUUGUUCAAGUAUUAGGCCUACUUUCUUUCCACUUUUUUUUUUUUUUUCUCAAUCAUCUAUCUUAUGUCAUACACGUCAAAUCACAAAAGUUAUUACAGUAAAUAAUCUUUACUCCAAAUGGAGUCAUUGAUUUAUAUUUAGGUAAACCAAUAAUACAUAAUUUUGUUUGUGCAUUGAAUGAGAAGUGGGAACAAAAGUGGAAUAUAAAGGGAAGAGAAGGUCAUAUACCUUGUCACCAUAGAAGUCCAACUGAAGCAUCCCGUCGCCGCCGAUGCGAUUUCCAGUGCUUACCAGGAAGAUGGUUAGUGCAGUUUGGAAAAGAGUAUAUGCAAGUCCAAUAACAAUGGCACCCAGCAGGUACCUGCAGAACUCGAGAAUAAGUUUGAAGAAGCUGAAAUCCCACUAACUAGCCAAGAAACAUAUUUUACAAACCAAAGUAUAUAAAUAAUUAAUAGUCACAUGAUGGUUUUUUAAAUAAUGAUUAGUCAUUUCUAUGAAUAUCAUUCAUGGUUAUAACUUGUAAACAUUUCCGAACUUAAAAUUACUACCGUGACUAGAGGUGGAGUUCAUGACAAUUACCGGUAGGCAUGGAAAUCGGUGAACUUGGUUUUGACAUCACCAUAAUCCGAUCUUUCGGUGUAAGUGUUGGUUAUGAGGAUGAUAACGGAUAUGAGCAGGCAGACGAACGUUAAAAUCCUCACCAACAGGCUCACUAUCGGAGAAACCGCGGUGGAAGGUGGAGGAGCCAUAUUUGUUCAGUCUUCCUGGCCAAGGUGGCUUUCUCGUGCUGAUGGACUAUAUAAGUUGGUGGAAUUGUGGUAGUAUUGCUAGGGAAACUAAUACAUAUAGGAGUAGUAUCAAACUUUUACAACUUAGACAGCUGGUAUCAAUCCAUAUACUCCUGUUAUGUAAACCAUUCUCUUAAUUUAUACUACUGGACUACUAUAAUAUAAUGCUAUCUAUCAUCGCCGUGCAGGAGUUGACUCUGACUUAAUGAUCACCAAACAAGUCAACGACUUCUUUUUCUUCGCGUACGAAUGACAAAGCGCUCCAUAUUUUGUACUCAGCUCCCACAUGCAUCGUUUACUUUGAUGAAAGGAAAGCUGCGGCUAAUUGCUAAGCUGUUUGCUGGUAAUUACAUGGUUGACGCGAAGACAGCGCGAAUGUCAACCUUCAAAAUUAAUCGAACGGUUCUACUUUUAACUUUUGUAUAAUUGUAUGGAUAUAUAAAGAAGAGGAAUUAGCUGGCGACCAGAUUGAAUGCUUAAAUAGUGCUUGACUCCAACACAUACAUCCAUGAGAAAUACGGAGGAAAAAAUGACUUCUCAUUCUUUUCCGUUUUUAUUUUGUUCAUUACUAAGAAUGGCUCAUUCAACUGAGAAUAUAAUUUCCUACAAGAAUUGGAUGCAGCUAUAAAUGAUAUCGUGAUUCCUGAUAGACGUUUUAGCCUAGCUACAUGUAUAAACGGAAAGAGGAAAAAGAUUUCGGGCAGGCUAUGAAAAGAAUAUAAUUCCUAUUCUUUUUAUUGUUUGAAAAUGAAUCCUAAUUCUCAUUACUAGCUCUUGGCCUGAGUAAGAAAUCGCAACAAUCAGAAACGUGCAACCUUACUAAGCUGAACAGUAUACAACAUCGGACACCAAAGAAACAAUAUAAUAAGAAAAGCAGGCAGCAGAAUCCUGAGAAGCUUCCAAUAUUAUGAGCACUUUAACAAGAUGUAAUACCUGUGACCAUGUACUCUGGAGCAGCAUAACCAUAGGUCCCCAUGACUCGUGUAGACACAUGGCUUUUACCAUCCAUUGGCCCAUCCUUUGCGAGCCCAAAAUCAGAGAGUUUUGCAUUAUAAUUCUGUCAGGAUUCAGUUCAUCAACAAGAUGCAUAAGUGACAGUGAGACACAAGUAAAGCAGAAAUCCAAAGAGUAAGACAUUCAACAAUUGGAAACUUGAGUUACAUACAUACCGAAUCAAGCAAGAUAUUUGAGGACUUAAAAUCACGGUAUAUAACUUUGGCUUCUGGGCUGUGAAGAUAUGCUAGCCCCUUUGCAGCGCCAUAAGCAACCUUCAUUCGGAGGUUCCAAGAUGGUGGUUGGAAGUAAGAGCUCCCUGUUGAAAAUAUACACAAGACAUUAUGUCAUUGUGAUAAUUGGAAGUGCAUUGUGUUGGAAGAUGGUAGACUUGCUACAGAGUUCAAGAACUCACUCCUGAAAAGAUGAUUUUCCAAGCUCCCCCUGGGCAUGAAUUCGUAAACCAAAAGUCUCUGUUCAUCUUCUAAGCAGUAUCCAACCAAUUUCACAAGAUUAGGAUGAUGUAGCUGUCCAAGAUAAUUGAUUUCUGUCUGUGAUUCAGGUGAAGAAACAAAAUUAUCAGCAUAGCUAAGAGAUUUCAGAAUAUGACAAUUACAAGUUUUGACCACGUGUGAUAUAUGUCAGUACUUUUUGCAUUAUUUAAUAACACUGGUAUGAAUUCUGUAAAUAACAGGUGAAGUCAUAUACUCACCAACCAUUCCUUGUGGCCCUGUAGACCUUCUUGGUUCAGUCUCUUCACAGCAAUAACCAAUCCAGUUCCUGGCUUAGCAGCCUUACAGCUAUGCUGAUCAACCCACCCCUUAAAAACACAACCAAAUCCGCCUUCUCCCAACACGCUAUCUGGGCGGAAGUUCCUAGUGGCUGUUUUUAGAUCAUUAAACCCAAAACUCCUCAGAUUUGAUGAUUCCAAAAUUUCACUCUCACUGCGAGGGGUCUGUGGUACUGAGGCAGAUGAGAGCCUGCUGCUUGAGUCUCUUCCAUCACUGCUGACAUAUCUUGAGUUUGCUCCUGCAAACAAAUUAAGUUAAUUUAUUGGGCUUCAACUGAACAUCCUACAACCUAAUUUCCUUUACAUCAAGAGCGUCUAAUCCUCGAAGGAAAAAAAAAGGAUGGAACAGCAUUAAAAAUGCAUGUCUAGGUGAUUUGCUUUUUGUUGAAGCAAAAGGCCUGAUAUUGCUUUGCAUAUGAUUCCUGUUAACAUUCAUAAAACAAUUGAAGAUUUCUAUGUAUGCUCAGAAACAUUAAUUAAGUGCCCUUUAAUUUCAGGUCAUUACUCUUGUAGUCUAGCCACUUCUUUCAUCUGGUUUGGUUUAUUCGUGAUGAGCCAAAGGUGUUGACUGAGCAGCCUUAUAUCAUCUUCAUACUUCAAAGCCAUGAUUCAGACCGGUGAUUUGUAAAGACAACUAUGGAAGGUCCGAGACGAUCCAAUUUGGUCUAUCAGAUUUUGAUUUUAGUAGCAGAACGACCACAAUAUCAUAAGUUGCAAAUGAAUUGUUGAGAUAUCAAACUAGCUAUCACCCAUAUCACCGGUUUCCAUGUAAAGUUUUCCAGACAAAGAGAACAUGACAUUCUAGAACGUUUAUCUCUUUUUCUUUGCAAAGGAACGGAACCAAAGGGGUCUAUCCAAAAAGAGAACUAUUGAUCAAAUACAGUAUAGCAAUCCUACUUGGAGGACCUAUGAAACUAGUAUGCAUAGAUUAUAUUCCAACCUGUGCCAAAGCAAGCAGCAUAUGUUUGCUAAAGAAGGCCAAGCAACAAGGUGGAACAACUAAUUAAAAUUUCCGGAAAACAUUUCCAAAAAUUGAGUCUUGAAAUAACAAAUGAGAACAGUUGCAUGUAUUGAAUUACCAGCAUGCAGAGGACUCUCGGCCUUAAUCCGAGCACUGAAGCAAGAGCCCAUAAAUUAUUAACAACAACCUUUCCAAAACUCUGAUCCUUCUUGCGAACCUUUUCUUCUUCUCCCAGAAAAAUUUGCAGAAAGUUCUGCGCUGAUGAAUCUUCAAAAAUCCCUUUAUGGGCGUGACCGCAGAAAACUGAAAAUGAAAUUCAUCAGACAAAAAGGUGUGAACAUGCUCAAAAGAUUUUUCCUACUAUCAAUGAAGGCAGAUGAAGAAUCCUGUUGAAUAUUUUACAUCUUUGUUCGGUUGGCUUCACGAGAAGCUAUUUCCAGACCUUCCCGAAGGCCAAAAUAGUUGACUUUUCGUACUACAAGUCCUUGGGUUAUCGUCAGCUACUACUCUGCAACUUGUACACGUACACACAUUAAAGAGAAGUGGACUCGACUACUCAACUCUGAUGAAGCGCGGUGGAAGACAGGACCGGCAGCAAAGUUUCACCUUUGGUCCUCUCUCUAUAAAUGUUCUCAAUUUAAUUCCACUCAAGUUUCACCUUUCGCAUUGCUCGGCUACAAAGCAACCACCGAUGCAAACUAAUAGCAUGGGUGCCUAAGCACGUCAAUUACAAAUGUUAAAAUUUCAAUAAGAUUUAACUUUGAAUCAAUUCAUAUCGAAUUAAGUAAAUCAUCAAUUCAUCUAAGGUAACAAAUUCGUUCACGUAUCUCACCCGUAAUAUUUUGUACCCUAUCCCGUUUUAUUUUAUUUAUUUUUAGUAGAAGAUGGAUAAGAAUUAAGGAAAUUUAAAUCCAAAACAUUUAAUUCUUGAAAUCUCAACCCUAAUCACACUUCAACCAUCCUCUUAAAUUUGUUCUAGCCCCUUAGCUCUUAACUAAAUGCUGGUUAAAUACAAUUGAGAUUGUUUCCAAUAACGAGUAAUAGCACCAAAAGGGUUCAAAUCUCUGUUUUCAAACUCGGACCGGACCGGCCGAUCGAACCAAUCGAACCGGGAACCGGCCAGGUAGCCAGUCCGAGUCAACUUAGAAAACCGGAAAUUUUAAAACUCGGUCAAAGCCGGUCAAAAUCCGGGUUUGACCGGGUUUGACCGGGAAAAAACCGGUUUUUCCGGUUCAACAGUGAUUUUUAAAAAAAAAAAUCAAACUUUAUAAUAUUAUGUUUUGGCCCCCUAAAUUGUUAAAACUUAUUCGUAUACCUCAAAUAUUUGAUACUUUAUAAAUAUUGUCCUACAAUUUGAUGUUAUUUUUCAAUUAAAUUCAUAAUUUUAAUUCUAAACUUGUUAAUAUUUAUUAAAUAAUAUAAAUUGCUACUUGAUUAUUCUAAUUUCUUUGUAUUUUCUUGUUAAAUAUAUUUGAAACAUCAAAUAUAUAUGAAUAUACCUUUAUUAAUAUCAAUAUAUUAUUAGAUAUGAUAUAUAUAAUAUUUUAAUUUUUAAAUAAUUUUUAUUUAUGACGUCAUCCGGUUCGACCCCUAUCGACCCCCGGUCGAACCCAUUGACCCCUGACCCCUGACCUUGGCCGAGUCGCUAUCCGGUCCGAUUCUGAAAACAUAGGUUCAAAUGGGUGAAGUUAUUGACCAAUUUUGGACGGGGUGAUCAAAGAUUAAAGCUUAAACAUAUGAGACUAAGACGAAACUGCCUGAAAAUUCAGGGGACUAAAACUGCAAAGCUUAAUUCAGGACACCAGCUUUUUGUGCCUUUCGGUGUCUAUCUCUUAAUUGAACGCUGAUGGUCAGGCGGUUGGAUUCUUUUAGUCUCUCGCACAAUUAAUAGGACAAAUGUGCAUUAAUUCAAAGAGCACCAGCCGUUGGAUCAGCAUAACAGUCAGUGGUGGAUGACACUGCAGUCGUGCUGUUCUGAUUCAUUUUUGCGUAUUAAGGGUUGAUUGGUAAAAGAUUAGCUUAAUUACAAGUACGUAAUUUAUUAUGGGAGUGGAUUUUAUGCGGUAUCCUUUCCUACCGCCGGCCUCGAAAUUGGCUGCGCCAAGUUUAUUGAACACUAAUCUGAUGGUAUGUCUUUUAAUCCAAAUAUUUGAAAAGUUUUUAAAGCUGCUGGAAUAAUCAACAUUUAUUAUUACUCCCUCCCUUUUUUUAUAACUGACGUUUAAGAAAUUUGCUCUAAUGUACUUUUAUCUGUCAUUUUAUUAUCUCAUACAGUAUUAAUUAUUUUUUCACAAUUUUACCCUUUUAUCUCUCUUUUUCAAUACAGGGUUCUUAAUUACUACUCUUAGUAAUUAUUGCUUUGACCUAGUAAAACAGCAUCAUUUAGUAUUCUAGUGAGAGAAAAUAUGGGUGAAUUGGACAAUUAAUGAGGGUACAAAAGGAAAAUAGUGUAAAGAUUUAAGCAAUAAAAAAUUUUUCUUAAUUGGUGUGCAAAAUCUUGAACGUCAGUUAUAAAAAAAAAAGGAGGGAGUAUUAACGCAUAAAGCGGGGGUGGCUUUUGUCCGUUUGCGCCUUGGGUUUUAUUUAGUGGAAAGGGCAGCCGAUGGAUGAUGCGCAGAUAACGUAAGAGCUUGCUAAGAAUGCCGAAUUGCUCAUGCGAACGGAUCAAGAGUCGAGAUAAACACCACCAUGUUGCUCUGUGUUAGUGUGCCUACACUUCUAGUUACCGUGGCUUAGAUUCUUUGGAGCCAUCAUCAUGGCCUCUUUUUUUUUUUUUUUUUUUUUUAAAAAAACCCAUUCUAUUCAUUAAAUUAGCAUUAAAUUAGUGCAAAUUAAUUUAGCCAAUUUAUGCUUGAAAUGACACUUACGAAUUAAGACGGCCCAGAUUCAAAAUUCGUAUCCUAAAUCUAACGAUGAUGAUGUGAUAAAAGAAUUCUAAAAAGAUUUAUGACUAUCGAACCAGACGAACAUAAUGACGAGAAUAAUAAUAAUAAUGGCUGUUAUUUGACAGUUUUUAUUAUUAUUAUUAUUAUCACCAUCACCAUCACCAUCAUCAUCAUCGUCUUCUUAAUCAGUUCACUCCGCCUCUUGAAUGUUGGAACCGCCACGUGUUUUCUUUUUUUUUUUUUUUUGUAGAGCACGCCACGGAGUAUUUGUUCUGGAGCACGACGAAGUGCAUCGUAGGGGACCAAUUUUGUACUCCAAAGGGAGAAAAAAAUGUCCAUCGCGGUGCUCCAAUUUGGAAUUCACACCAUUGAAAGCAAAAGUUUCCGGAUUUGAGCCACUUGGAGUCCCUUUAUGGACCAUCUGAUUGUAAUGGUUGGCAUUCCUGCACUUACUAGCAGUUUAUUUCAGUCGUUAUUUCUGUCGACCAAUCUUUUAGAGAAAAUGACCCAAAAAUUUUAGUUGCAACCCAAUUAACUCAAAAGAGCAGAUGCAGAUCAGAUCUUUUAAAUGAUGGCACAAGUCAAAGCAAUCCGCAUCCAUUGCGGUAAUUAUUUUAGUUUAUUGGAUGCGGGCACAUGGGUUGGGAAGAAAGGAAACAGAAAACACAAAGUGCCAACCCAUCCGAGAGGGGGGGAAAAAAAAAAGAAAGAUAUACAGAAUAAAUAAAUGGACAGGAAGAUCCAAAUUCGGAGUACCUGACUGGAAGGACAGUUGAAAAAUAAGAAGAUUACAUGGUACAUACAUAUCUUUAAUUAGUAACUGGUCGUCACCGGAUUCUUGUACAAAUCAAUAGAAAACAAAAUGAAACACCUCUACCUUCGGUUUCACUUGACUCUCUCGAUACUGAAAUUCAACUGUUGACUUUGUCUUUCCACAGCCUGGCAACAAUUAUACACUGGUGACAAAGCUUCCACACCAUACAUUAAGGCCACUGACGCUGACAAAAGAUUUACAUCCUGCCCAAGACAAAAGACAGAGCGCAUUCACAUCCUGCUUGGUCUGAUUUAGCUGCAGCAACUGCGUGCGACCUCCAGAGUAGCUCCUAACCUUGUAAAUCUGUUGAUCCUUCCAUAUCUCGUAGAAAAUUUUUACUUUUUUUUUCAUAUUUUUCAAACACUUUUUUAUUUUAUAUAUAUUAAAUUAUUAUAAUAUUUUUUUUUUAACAAAAAUUCUUGAAUAUAACAACAAUUCAGGCGACUCCUGAAAAUCUUUUGUUCGGUUUUAUGAAUCACUUUAAAUAUAAUGUAAACCUCAAAUAAUUUUUUGUGAACAUCAUGUAAUCAUGAUGCUUAACCUUCAGGAACAAUUGUUACUUGCGACAAAUCAUGAUGCUACCCUAAUUCGAAAAAAAGAUGACUCGAAGAAGAAAGUCAACAUCGGCAUCUCUGGUGAGCUAAGCAGCCAUGCAUCAUAAUUCAUAAGCAUAAUGUUAACCUAAAAUAAAGAUGACAAGGUACGUCAGAAUUGUUAUUAAAAUGGAUAUGCAGAUUGAAUGUCGACCUUGAGAGAGCGGUCGACUGGGCUCGAGACUAUUGAAUAAUUGCCGUUCCUACGCAUCUUACGUGUUUGUCUCGCCCAACUUUAAUAUUUCUAAAUGUACUUAAAUCCGUUGUAGCUUGCAUUUCCUUUUUUUCUUUUUAUUUUUUUCCUGGAUUGGACUAACCACUUUUAUGGAAUUUUGCAAGCAGGCAACCAGAAAACAGAUUACACCUUUCACUGAAAGCAGCGCCGUUAUUGCUACUAAGGACGUUAUUCCGGGGGGCCUUUUUGGUCAGGGAUGGCAACGGAGCGGGAUUUGAGCGGGAGAGGGACGCCUCGCUUCCCCCGACUGUAGGGGAGCUAAUAAAAAGUUGUCAUAUAAUUUUUUAUAGUCAAAUUUUAACAAACAAUCAAGUACUAAAAUAUCAACACAUCACCAAAUUAUCAUCCUAUUGUAUUUUUAUAAUUGAAACUCAUAAAAACAAUCAAAUAAGAGUUGUUUGAAUACAACCUAAUAUCAUCAAAUAAAUAUAACUAAAGUGAUCAAUUUUUCACUUCUGACACAAAUAUAAUUAUUAAAUCAUUAUUGUGUUUUUUUCUGAGGAAAAAAGUGUUAUUGUGUUAUGUGUAAUUAGAAAUUUAGUAUAAAUGUAUUAGUUAAUUUAAUAUAACUAAUUAAUAAUUUCUAUUAGUAGACAUAUAUAAUUAUUAGUAUAAUUGAUAAUAUCAAUUAAAUUACAUAUACUAAUAUCCAUUAUAUAAUACAUAUAAUUAAUAAUAUCAUUAUUAUAAAUUUAUAACUAAUUAAAUUAAAUAUUAUAUAUAAUUAUAUACAUACAUAUAUUCAUUUAUUAUUUUUUGGAAAAAUCGCCCAAAACGUCCUUCACAUUUUGUAAAAUGACUUUUUUCGUUCCUCACUUUUAAAAGUGUAAUUUUAUGUCCCUUACAUAUUCACAUCGGUCAAAUUUAGUCCCUAAUUAGGUUUUCCGAUCAUUUUUUGGCCGAAAUCCAUUACGUGCCUUGUACGUGAUCAUUUUUUAAGGGUAAAUUUGUCAAAUUAUAUUUUACAUAAUCUGAUCUAUAGUCCUCCAUAUUUUAUAAAACAAAUUUUUUCGUCCCUCAUAUUUUAUAAAAUGAUUUUUUUCAUCCCUCACAUUUCACAAAAUGAAUUUCUCCAUCCCUCACAUUUCAAAAAAUGAAUAUUUCCAUCCCCCACUAAUUAUAUAUGUAAGGGAAACUCUAAAAAAAAUGUGUGCGAAUACAUUUUGUUUAAACACAAGUAUAUGUCUAUUUGAUUUUGCUUAAUAAUCCGAAUAGCAUAAAUAUAUGUAUGUGUCUAUUUGAUUUCACUUAACAAUACGAAUACCAUAUAUUAUACGUGAUCAUUUGAUUUCAUCUGGUAUUAGCUAGUAAAUAAUCUUGCAUUCAUUGUCAAGUUGGUCAAUAAAGUUAUUUUCGAUCAAAAUACAAUAAGAAUAUGCAAAUUAAGGUUCUAUUGUAAAUAUUAGUCAUAAUCAUACAAAAUGAGAAGAUAGCCCACAAGUUGGCCAAUUACAUACAUGUGUUUAUACUAUUAUUAUUAAGCAAAAUCAAAUAGAUAUAUAUAUGUGUUUAAAAAAAUGUAUUUACACACAUAAUUAGUGAGAAAUGAAAAAUUCAUUUUGUGAAAUGUGAAGGAUGGAGAAAUUCAUUUUGUGAAAUGUAAGGGAUGAAAAAAAUCAUUUGAUAAAAAGUGAGGGACGAAAAAUUUUAUUUUAUAAAAUGUGGAGGACUAUAGAUGAGAUUAUGUAAAAUAUAAUUUGACAAAUUUACCCUUAAAAAAUAAUCAUGUGCCUUACACAUAAUGGAUUCCGGUCAAAAAAUGAUCGGAAACUUAGUUAGGGACUAAAUUUGUCCGAAGUGAAUAUGUAAGGAAUAUAAAAUUACACUUUUAAAAGUGAGGGACGAAAAAAGUUAUUUUACAAAUGUGAGGGACGUUUUGGACGAUUUUUCCUUAUUUUUUUAACGAAUCGUGAGACAGGUAUACCCUGCCCCCACCCCCCCUCCCCUGUCUAGGGAGGGUGGAAAUUCCUCUCCGUCCCAACUCCCGUCCCAUUAGCCCUCCGCGGAGUGGAUCCCGCCCAAUUGCCACUCCUAUUUGCGGUUGCGGGUGUGGGCACGUAAGAUUUGUUUAUUCGUAUGGUUCUUAAAAGGUCGAAUGGCACUUUGCCCUCUGAACCAAAACAGUACACAGUUUGCCUUCGUUCACACUGAUGAUCGUAGAGGCAGCCGUGAUCAGCGGGCCAAAAAUGAAAAAACUAACGAAAUGUGACUAAAUUGUCCACUUUUGCGUGUGCAAGUCCACAAAUAAAUAUCCUAAAAAACCUAUGCUCUUAGUCCUCCACAUAUUUUCUUCCUGUUUUUUGAUCCUUCAUUUUUUGUUUCUAGCGCUAGCAGCCUCACUUGCAUUCCGUCUCUUUUUUUUUUUAAUAUCGCUCGGCAAUCUCCUUUUAUUUUUUGCACGCUUCAGGCUCCAUCCCGCGAAGAUACCCAAAUGCACAUUUACUUUCGAAGUUGAAGCAUCCAAUAAGAUGCACAAUGGUGUCAUUUCCCACACUCGUAGUUGCAUCUUCAUAUUGCUGAGUUGUUUGAGUUAGUUACCCGAGGCAUUUUGCUAGAUGUUUUUAUUUUGAAAUUUUUGUAUUUCUUUUUUGUGCGCUUCCAUUAUUUAUCAACACUAACACCUUUAUACUUGUUUGGCUUUACAGCAACUCCAAUUUUAGCCGUUAGCUAGCUGUUUAGGGGGGAAAUCUGGAAGAAAAUUACUCGCAUGUUUCAAGACUCUUAAUUCGUCUGACACACAUGGGCGCGCUCCUGCGCCCCCCGCCGCCGCCGCCGGGGUGUAGUAAAGUGUAUACUCCCUCCGUCCCACUUUGAUAGUCCUGUUUCUUUUUUCACACAGUUUAAGAAAAAGUAGUUAACUUUGUUGGAAAAGUAAAUUUAGAUUGCUAUUUUCCUAAAAUACCCUCACAUUAAAUAGAGUACAACUUUAUGGGAACUUGAAUUGAUGGUUAAAAAAGAAUCAACUCUCAUUAAAUGGGGUAGGUUUAUAGCAACAAUAACUUAUAUUGAAUAAGGGUAUUUUAGGAAAAUGAAAAUACAACUACAUUCUUCAAUUGGAAAGUGGACUGCAAUUUGGGACAGACAAAAAAGGAAAACAGGACUAUCAAAGUGGGACGGAGAGAGUAUUAUUUUGGUUGGAGGGGGCAUAGUGGAAUUAACACCAUAGUUCAGGGAACAUUCAUCCUUCUUGAAAUGGUGGUGUCUGUCGAGUGAACAACUCGGCAGAAUUUCUCCCAAAAGAAACAGAGCCACAUGUUACGUUUCUAGUUUUCUGUUUCAUGGAUUAUACUGUUAGACUGCAUAGACAGGGGCAUUAGAAAAAUUAGUUUAAAUUUUGAUAGAAAUUGUGGGGAUUUUAAGAUUCGUAUGUUUGUUUUGCUUUUUGCUUGUGAAUGAUUUGAUGCUCUUAUCCUUGUUUUCCUAGCCUUUGAUUCGUAUCCCUUUCCACUGCCUGCUUCGUUUCCCAUGUACAAUUUAUUUUUCAUGCGUCGAAUGUGCAGCCAAAACACCAAGAUGCAAAUUCCAUUUUCUAUUAGCAGUUAGCCGGUUAGCCAAACCAUCAACCAAACUUAUUUCUUAAAAAGCCAACACUGCCGCAAGCAACUAGAAGUAAAUGCAUGCCCCAAUCCCACGUUCCUACUUCUUAAAUCCCAAGUACCUUCCUGCUUCUACAAUCCCACCUUCUCUUGCUGAAAAGAAAUUUAAAAAAAAAAAGAAGCAAAUAUAUGCACACACUAACAAUGUCAAGCUAAUUUUAUUCGUAAAUAGUCGGGGUGGUUAUGUUUGCUGAAAUAGGAUGAAGAGCUCAGCUUGGUUAUCAAAUUAAACGCUGUAAAAGUACGUGUAGCAAAAGUGAAAAAGCAUGAUUUACUCCAGGUACGAAAUCUCAAGUAGAAUAAACAAAACUUUCACCACCACUGAUCUCUGAUACAGAGCUUAAGCACUCUUCUUCACCUCUGCAGACUUGAUAAUGUCAAUGAACUCCGGCUAGCCACACAAAAAAGAGAAUCAGAAGACAGAAAAUACAUCUUCUGCUUUAUUUUUACAUAUUUAUCAUUUUAUUAUUCUACUUUCAAAUCUUGCUUCUUUGAGUAAUUGAGAACAUCAAGGUCAUAAACCGUCUAGGAGAAGAAGUGGAGCAAAAACUCUAAUGAGAUCAUUACCUUUAGAGAAGCUCCACCUACAAGAAAUCCAUCAACAUCAGGUUGUGCAGCUAAUUCCUUGCAGUUGGCACCAUUCACCGAACCUGCAGAGUCCAAAGCAUAAUUAUAGACAAUUUUGAACACAGUGCCUCACCAUUUAUUAAUCUCACAUAGUUGUAGUAUGGCCAUAUGACACCAGCAAAGAGGGCUAAAAUAUGUGGGACCCAAGUUUAAUGCCACCAAAACUAAAACCCCAAAAGAAAACGAACGACCAAAGUCUAUAUGUUUCCAGGCAACAAUAGCAGAAAGUGCAGCAGACUUCCCCCUGAUGGAAGGUAUGCAUACACAAGGUUCUUAUCACCAUAAAGGUGUUAUAAAACAUCUGAUUAUGACAUUGAAAUGGAGCUUCCUUUCCAUGUACAACUAUGCUCACCCUUCGGUUAUAAUCCCACCCUACCAAACUUCCUCCCAAGAGAUACUUUUCACUUCUGGUAUAUUCAAUAAUCAACAAAAUCCAGUAAUCUAUGUUCAUUAAAUUUCAUAAUGUAAUUGAGAUGUUAGGAAAUAAAUUCUACAACAUCACUUCUCAAGGAUACCUUCAUACAUCAAUAGUAACUAAUAUGGCAGAUAAUGUAUUUCUAAAAUCAGAGCUGACAAGUGCAUGGUUCAGAAUUUUCUAUUUUAAACCCAUUCUUCUUUUGUUAAUAUUUAUUUAGAAUUCAAACUUGAACCCAGGUCUGGUAGAUGCUGAAAACUUGAGAUGUCUUUUAUUUCAGAGUAAGACUGCCAGUUGACAGUACGUCAAACAGAACAAUAAGUUUAACAUUAUUUUUUUCGUUGCCAGGUCAAAGCAUCAGUACAUGACACUUUAAUCAAUUGCUCAUCUUACAGUUCCAAAUCAAAACCUUGAAAUUAACACAAGGAUUGGGAAGAAAUGUUAAAAACAAACACUGGGAAAUUUUUUGAACAUGGAGUUGGUAAAUGACAGGAUUACCUCCAUAGAUAAUUCUAGUUGAGGCAGCCACUUCAGGGCUUAUAUUAGCGUGAAGCCAUUUCCUCAGUUCAGCAUGUACCUAUUAUUCACCAUGAUGACAAAAACACACAUUGUAAAAAACUGAAAAAGUUAAGCCAACUUUCACAUUCCUAUAAGAACUGGACAUACCAAAAUAAGAUAAAUUUUACAUGCAAAAUUAACCCCUAAGCAGAUUUAUUUUUUGGUAAUCAGUGAAUAAUGCAAAGAAGGAAAAAAGUAUAAAAAGACGCCAGUAAUGGGUUUAUUGAAGAACCAGUUUGGUUCAUAGACCUGGAUUCUAGGCAACUAUUUUGCCACGAAAAUUAGUGUAGUACAAGACUAACAAUAGAUCCACACAACCAAACCCCCCCCCCCCCCCCAAAAAAAAAAAGGACCUUAACCAAUUGUUCAAAUAUUAUCCAAAAAUUUGGAUAUCUGAUCCCUAAAUUCUAAAUCCAUGAUCUCUUUAGUUUCCCAUGAUGAAAUAAGCACACAGGAAACCCAAAGUUCUACUUUUGAAAAAUGUUCUCCAAACCCAUCUAAGCUGCCCAAAAUAGAUAGAGACAGCCUAUCUGUAAGUCACUUGUGUUAUACAGUUUGUCUGUGGGAGACAAACAAAGCUAUCCCGAAAAAAGCACAGGCCCUCCCAGGAAAAUAAAAACCAACAAAUUCAUCGAAUGAAAUUCCAAUUCUGACCAAGAAUAAGAGCUAGGCUAAAGUAAUGUUUUCCUCUCAAGUAAGCAAUUUAUAGUGCAGAAAGCAAGCAACUAGGUCAUUUUAGUUCAUCUUUCAAGACAUUAUCAACCUUGCAUACUCACCAACAUUUUCACAUUAGCAAAAACUUCAUCAAGAACAUUAUAUUCGUUAAGCAAAAUAUUUGGUGUUGUCUUCUACCACCAAGUGACCAAGUAAUUCUAGACAAUUCCAAGCACCACAAGAAAUCAAUUACCAAAGUUCUGUAUAUACAGUUCUUACACCUUGAACAUUCACAUGUUAUCAGCCAUAUUUUUGGUUGAUAAUCAGCAAUACGGAACUUAGGCAAUGAGUAGAGUAUGUAUAAAAUUAGCUAAGGACUUACUUCUUGGGCCUGAGCAGGAGUUGCAACCUUCCCAGUUCCAAUAGCCCAAACAGGCUCGUAAGCCACAACCACAUUAGUCCAAUCUGAUACGCGGUCUGCAAUGUGGAUGGAAUUCAAAGCAGUCAGCUAAAAAACUAACGACUGUUGAGGCCAAUCUAAAACCUGAUAAUGACAUACGCAUAACAUAUACAAACUAAAAGUAAGUGACCAAUGAAAAAGCAAGUGGGCAUACUACCAAUUAGGUUCUGGACAAAUAUUAUUCUGAUACAUGAGUACAUUAAGAAACAAAAGAGCUCUUCAGAAAACAAGUGCUUUUUAUCUCUCGCCUCUCACCUUUGUAUGAUAGUGUUGUGGGGCAUGUCCAAGUGUCUGCUAUACUCUAGUAGAGUAUGGAAAGUCAUUUCCCAGUAAAACAUAGAGAUGAAACCAAAACAACCAGAAACGUACAAUCAAGUAACUGCCAUAGUCCUUAACUAGAAAUUCAUCAGAGAUUUAUUCAUUGAACUCAGAUCUCACAUAAGUCAAAACACUCAGGUGACAGAAAACUGAGCCCAUUAAGGAGGGAAUUUUCAAAUUAAGUUAAACAUAACAUCACAAGGACUAGUAAUCAUAUGGUCAAGACAUCCGGACUAGUUGUUGGCCAAGAGGUGCUGUAACUUCCCCAAGUAUUUGGGGCCAAGCUUAUCAUGUUCCAGAGCAACAAGUUUCAUUAAGACACAAACGCUCUGCAGAAGCGUAGGAAAGUGUGGGACAUGAAGCAGACUGCAAUAGCAGCCGCACAUUUCAUACCCGUGUCUCCAAAGAGACUACUGAUAUCAGUACCUGCAAUUGCCUUAGUUUGUGCAGCAACAACUUCCAGAGUUGAACCUGAUUCUCUCUGCUCAAGAGUCUCUCCAACACAGGCAAUUACCUUCAAACCUCGAGAAAGGGCAUAUGCAACUUUAUCUCCAACAAACUUGAAAGAAAACAGACAGCGAUCAAGAUAAGUUAAUCAGCAAAAGCAUCAAGAGUUUGCUUGAAAUGAAUAGUGACCAAAAUUGAAGCCCAUAAACUUGUUACAGAAGUAGAGAAAGGUUACCUCAUUUGAUUCACCCAAUAUCAAUCUCCUCUCUGAGUGACCAAGAAUGACCCAUGGAAUGUCCAAAUUGACAAGCAUCUCAGCACUAAAUCACAAUUAUGUGACAAAAAAAAGUUUUCAUCAUCUGUUAUAACCUAAGGUUGAAACUUGAUAUAACUUUUUAACAAAAUGUUAGCGAUAUCACAGAAUGGCAGAUAAUUUAUAUUUCAAGAAAUAAAACCGAAUUGGUAUUCAUGCAAAACUAGUUGUCACUAAACAAAUGCCAAAAGGAGCACUGCAAACUUAUAGAGCCAAUAUUUCCAUGUCGGAGUCUCCCAUGGCAGAAAGUAACAAGUUUUAAAAAGACCAAUAGAUUAUACCCUGCAGCCAACAUCCUAAGACAAUAGAAAGAUUAUCUGCCAAACAUACCUAAUCUCACCAGUGUAGGCACCCCCUUUCUUAACCCAACAAUUUUGGGCAGCAACAUGGAAAUCCGGUCGCAAUGAGCCCUUGGUCAAUGGAAGAAACACAAAUGGAGGGCUCACAACAACCUCUGCAGCAAUAACAAGCUCUCAGGAACAUCAGGAAACUUGAAGACAAAAAGUAAAUGCAAACUAAAAUGCUACCCAAACGAAGCUAGUACCAUGAUUACUCACCCACGACAUCCUGAGACGGAACAUCACCAGCAUUAAGUGUUGAGAUUAUUUUCUUCACCUCCUCAUUGGUCCCAUUCUGCACGAAUAAUAGAAUUUCCUCUCAUUAUCAACUUUUCUAGCCACACUCGCUAAUUAGUACCAACAAAAAUCGUUAACUCUGAUUAGUUAAACCAUACAAAAUUUCUUCUAACCGCUUCAAUUUGAACUGAAGUGUUUUCCAUAUCAUUGGCUGUGUGAAUCAACAAUGCCUCUAGCCACACUAGCUAUUUAGUGAAAUAAAGUCACUCAACUCUAAUUAAUGAAACCGCAUCAAUUUUCUGCCAGAUCAAAUGUACGAGAGCUUAAAUCUGAGGUAAAAUAUUUUCUCCUUUUGCUUUAUUUCAAGCAAUUAAUAAUGUCCAAAACAACAACGAGCAACAAGCUUUGAAGUCCAGUCGCUGUUAUAAAAUCGAUGCUCAAGUCACUAGAUUACCAAAAUUGUCCAGUUACUAAUAAAGCAGAAUUUUCCAAUCACAGUUGUCAAAAAUUCAGAAUCAGGAUCUAGACCGUAUCCACUUUGCUAGAUCAGCUGAAAAUACCACCAUGUAAAUGUAGAACGAUCUCCAAACAAACAAACCAAAAAAAUCGAUUCGCAAAGCACAUAAAAAGAAACAGUACAUAUGUAGAAAUAGCCAAUUACGAACAACUGAUGAACAAAAAGACUUACGCAUUUCCAGUUGCCUCCGACGAAGAACUUUCUACCCAUGAUGGACGAAGAUUGCAAGGAUUUCAACUGGAUUGUGGUGUAAGGAAGAAAACUGCGGGCGCUCUAAUGCUUUUUGGGGUUUUCAGGGGUGAUCGAGGAUUAUAUUGCGGGGCUUUGAUUUUUUAUUUUAGGAAAUUGUGAAAAUGUGCGGAUCUAAGUGGAUUGUGUAUCACUGCUGUCGAAAUGACUAGUUUGACCUUUCACAGAAUAUCCACAGAUGUUGUAUUGCUGGUCCUUGUUAAUUGUUCCUCGUUAAGCUUCGGAGCUUGGCAAGGGUAAUCUGGUCAACUUGCUUGCUAUCUAAAUGCAUGGUCUGAGAGGUCACACUAACUUCGUAACUGCUCCUCCCUCCCCGUGAUUAUCGACGUCAGCCUAAUUAAAAGUUUUGGGCUUCGUUUUCCAUGGAUUGGGCCGCUCUAACACCGAGGAGGCUUAGACUCUAGGGACCAACUUUAUUUCAGGACAAAUGUAUUCCAACCUCAGUUUGGGUAUAAAGGUUAUGGGCUUAGACCCAACUCAUCCAUCCCAAUUCCAAUGUCAGGGAAGAGGCUGGUUCACUAGAGGAUGUGGAAGGGGUUUUUUUCUUAUUUUUCUUUUUCCCCCCUCCUCCUUUCUUUUUUGAGCAACAUCUACAUCUAUCUUAUUCUGUCUUAUAGUAAACGAGAACCCAAUUGCAUUAAGAGGAGUCAGAAGAAAAAAUCCCCACCAAAAACCAGAAGGGAUCUUCUGGUUGCGACCAAAGGCCUCGAUCAGAUCAAGGGAUGGUUGGAAGGGGAGAGGAGGAGAAAGGAGAGGAAAGGGGUGGUGGGGGGGAUAAUGGCAAUGGUGGUCAUGGAUGGUAGUAUUAAUUUUUAAAAUGUAUCAUAAAAAUAUUUUUAAUUUUAAAAGAUAUCUUAAAAUAUAUAUCAAAAACCUCUCAAAAAACAUCACAAAAAAUAUAUCUAUAAUAAAAUUUUUUUAAAUACGCUGUUACAAUAAAAUAUUUCAAAAACACUUUUAAAGACAGCUAAUCCAAACGAAACUAUUUGUGCUGGUAAAAACACAUCUAACUAGUAUAAUGGCAAACCCAUCAUAAAUUACCCUCAUUCAAAAAAAAAAAAAGAGAAAAAAAUCAAUUCUUUUGUUAUUGGCAUAUCUUUUUUAUUGCUUAUCAACUAUAAUCAUUAUUUUGUCAUAAAUCGCUGGCACUUAAAACAUCAAUAAUUCCCCGUGAAGGAAUCUCGCCAACUCUUUUUUUUUUUGUCGAUGCGAUAACUUCCUAUACUAUAGAGAAGGAAAGGAUCUCCUAGAGUCCGGAGAUAAUUUGAAAAGGACUAAACCAUCAUGGAAUCAGACCAAUGUACUACGCACUCGUUUGACUUUUUUAAGUAAAGCCACGUCUAAAUGUGACAAAUUGGUGGGAGGGAGGUGGUGGCCACCAAUUCAAAGGCUGGUAGUUAGGAAUCUCGCCAACUCGCCUGUGCCCAAUGAAGUCAAUCGCUCAACAUCACGCUUUUGCCCUUAAAGUGGAUUGCAUGAACCGACUUCAGUAAAGGAAAAUUCCCUUCUAGUCCCUAAAUCAGUUUCCCGCCAUCUCAAAAUUAGGGCUCACUUUCACUACACUGAUUUUGUUAUCGUCCUCAACCCUCACCUGCCAUUCUCUUAGAAAUCGUCAAAUUUUCCUUCCCUACUCCAUACUAGAAAACAAUUCACCCCAAAAUCUUCUUUUAUCUUAUUGAAAUGGCCAGCCAAGCCGAUGCUCAUGCAGCCACAUUCUCUGCUGCCGAGGUUCUAAUAACUUAAAUUGUUAAUUCAUUUUUAUAGGAUUAAUUAAGUAGGAUUUUGGCUUCCUUUUGUCUGUUUAAAAAAAUAUUGCAUCUGUUUGAGUUUUGCAGUUGGAGUUUCUAGCGGAAGAUGAGCUGAUUGAGAUUGUACCAAAUAUGAGGAUGGAUCCUCUCAACCUCAUCUGCGUACUAUUCUAGUCUUUUAACUUAGCUUUAUAUAUGCCCAGAAGAAAAUUUUUGCAAUCUGCUUACGUGAAAAGUACCGUUUUCUUUUUCUUGCUUUUUGAACUUGCCAGGGAGAUUUUGGCCCAUUUAGACCACAAAUAGCUACUCAGGUGCCUGUUUGGUUAGCUGUGGCUUUGAAGAGGAGAGGGAAAUGCACAAUUAGACCUCCUGACUGGAUGUCUGUGGGUGAGUUUUGCUUUUUAAAGAAUUUUCUCUAAUCACUUUUCGUAUUUUGAUGCUCUACCUUUUGCCAGUUCGUGUUCUGCACAACUGGAUAUGAAUUCAACUUGGGGCGGGCCCGUUUGGUGAAAAAAUUGAAGUGCUUUACAUUAAAUUCGUUCUACAGUUAGCAAGAAAUUUUGAAAAUGAAAACUUGAAGGAAAAUGCGAAUGGUGCAACAUAAAUUGCUUGAAAUUAUUUGGGUUUGUGAGUAGAUUUUCAGAGAGGAUACUAAAUGUUACUUGAAAGAGAAAUGAGUAACAGAAGAGAUCGUACCGGAUUGUUAAUUGUCUUCAAUUCAUCUUUGCCAACUAGAAAAGUUGACACAAGUUUUGGAAGCAGAGAGAGAUGCUGAAAAGUUUCAGCCAUUACCAUUCCAUUAUGUAGAAAUCUCAAGGCUUCUUUUUGAUCAGUAAGUUGCUCUGUAUGUUAUUUUGUAUUCGAAAGUGAUGAGUGCUUGUUUUGUUGUUUUCCUGUGUUGAUGGUGGCAUUUGUUGUGUAGUGCACGUGAUGACAUUCCUGACAUAUACAUGGUUAGUUAAAUGGUCCCUUGAGGUUCUCUAGUUACACUUAAUUAAUAUUUGCUCACAGAAUGUCAAUUUUAAUGCUUUUAGGUAAGGUCAUUGAUUGAGGACAUCAAAGAUGUGCGGUUUCACAAAAUUGGAACUGGCUUAGAGAUAAUAUCAAGGGAGCGAACAUAUGCAUUGAGGGUACACUUAUUCUUAUUUUUGUGAAUUCAUUGUUGAAAUGAUAGGUUUUACCUUUCAAUUUAUAUCUUGAGGUUAUGACAUUUGAGCUUGGAGAUGUCCUUUCUUGAUUCUUCUCAAAAAGUGAAACGUUAAAGAAAGCUGAGAAGAUGACAAGAGAUUAUGUGCCUGCAUAUCUGUUGUCCUAUUUCCUGUCUAUGUUAGACAUGAGAUUAUCAUUGUUGUCACGUUGAAAAUGUAGGUGUAGAACCACUGUUUAUUUUGCUCCAGUGUCUAACUACUGCAAAAUUGGCUCAGGACCGUAUGCCAUCAGUAACUUACUAGUAUUUGCUUCUAACAUGAGUGCGACUGUUUGUGCUUUGAUUGCUGUUUGACUGGUGCUUCCUGCAAUGAUUUUCUUCUCAGUGCUUUUCUGAACAUACUUGGCUCAAUGGAAGAGUAACCCCUGGUCUCUUACUAAAGUUAUCCUUUUACAUCCUUAACCAAAUGCACUUCUUUGUCUCAGAAUUGGUUUAUCCCUCCUGCAAGGAUAUAAUGUCCUUUUCUGGUACCUGAACUGCUCUGAUGCUUAUUAGAAUUAGAAUGUCUAUGUUUGUUCUAUGUGUCAAUCUUUCUAUUUGAUUUCUAGAUCUAAUAGAAAGCAAAUGUAGACAAUGGAGUUCUGAUAUUCCUGUUACAGUCUAAAGGUAGGGUGGCGGUGGGCUUAUAAUCGUUAUAUUCUUCAAUCUCAGAAUUGAUAUUUUAUUGGAUUAAAAGGGAAGGUAAGGAGCAAAAAUUCAAGUGGACAAGUUUGUUGCUACUUGAAUUUGAUUCAGUUUUAUGGAAAUUAUUUGUUAGCUUGUUAAUGUUAAUCCAGAACCAUUUCAUGCAUAUAGAUGCUCUGUAACAGCAAGAGAACUUCAUUUGUAGUAAGUCCUGAAUAUCACCCUUCAAUUUUGUAGCUGAAAAAUCUGUCAGCAAUGGAAGCAAAUAUAGUGCGGCCAUUUGUGACAAGGGCUCUUCAGACAUUUUAUAAGCUCAAUAGUCCUGAUAUGAUUCAGGAAUCAGACAGCGUGUCAAACAGACAGCCUCAAACGGCCAACCGUGGGCCAAGGGUGAGCUUCUCAUUCCUGUAUAUCUGUAUCUUUUGGCCCUUAGAAUAUUUUUGUUAAGGCAUGCAGCAUGGCAUGGAACUUGCCAACACAUUAGCUAUAGCACUUGAAAGUACUUGACAAAUUGUGAGUGAGCGAAUAAUAUACUUAAUCUUCAUGCUGAGGUUGUGAUGCUAACUUUUUAUGUUUUUUGACUCAGCGUCAAUUGAAAGAUAGAUGAUCGUAUCCCCAUUGGUAUUUUCAAUUGGCUUAGCAACCACCUCAGCAUUUGUUGCUGAAGUAACAACAUUCAGAACGCUAGCUGGAGGUGCUGCUGUGGUUGAGUAAACUACCCAAUAUUGCUGUUGUCGAUCCCUUUUCAUGUUGAAAAAGCAUCGAGAAGUUCACUGAAAGGAAUGUGGCAUUUGUUUGGGUUUCUUAUCUUUGAAAACUGAACACAUAGAUAAACUCAGCGUUGAAGCUUCUGCUCUCUCUUUUUCAAUUAACUAAGGGUCAUCAUUGCUUUUUAUGGCUGUUAGUUUAUUGCGACAUGAGGAAUGGCAUGGAUCAGAUGUUUUGUUGGUCAUAUUGUAGGCAGCUGAAGGCCAUUAGCCUGAAUAAAAAUAACUUAGUUUACGUGUUAUGUUUUAAAUGAUAAGGAGAUGGAGUGUACUUGUUUCUUAUGAUGCUGCAGCACACUCUAUGAAUGGGAAUUUUUUUCUUUUCUUUAGUAAGCCUGUGUUUCAAAGGCUAGUCUUCGCCGAGACUGUCUAUGAAAUGUGGAGAUCGAAGAAGCUGGUAUAUUUCAAUCAUAGCCCUUAAAUACUGUCGUAGUUAUGAACUAAUGUGAAUGAUGUACAACAUGUGGUGGUGCAGUCAUGGAGUAAGAUUCCCAGGCGUAGAGCAAACUAUGAGCAUGCACUGAAGUAUUUAAUUUUUUUUUUCUGCCAAUAACGACAAUAUUCGUAUAAUUUAAUCUAUCAUAUUCUACAGAAAGGAAGAGUCUAAAGAGAUUGUGUAAGGAAUUAAUAAAUAUAUAAAUCUGAUUAGAUCAAAAUGGUACUUUAACAUCAUUUUAAAAUUUUUUUUUACUGCAUGUGAAGUUUAAACCUCCAACCUAUAAUUCAAAGAGGGACUUAUGCCUUUUUGGACGUGGGUGUGGGAGGUUGGGGAGUGGCCUGGGGUUGAAUAAAACAGUACUGAAUAGUUGUUUGAUUUUGACGUAUCAUUAGGUUGUCAGAUAAAUCAGGCAAGGCUGGAGAAUUCUUCUGCUAAUAAAAGCAGAGUGGCUACCAGGCAGUUGAAUGUUGCAUUAAGCUCGUUGCUGACUUUGCCAUCGUCUUCACUUCGCAUAGACACGAAUAACUUGACAAUUCCCCCGGCUGAGAUUGCCAAGAUCAUACAACUCUGACCCAGAUAAGGCCACGAAAUGGUGCGUGUGCAGUUGUACGUACCAUUUCUAACCAUAUAUAUUGACAUCAGAAUGAGAAUACGACGCAAUCAACAGUCAACAAUCUUUGGACUGUUGACCAUCAUCAUCAAUUAUCAUUAUAUAUAUCUUGUCAUUUAAAUAAUUUAAAUUUAUAUGAGUAUGUAAUGCACUCAUCUACGAACGAGAAAGGAAGACAAAUUCUUUUGAUGUCCUCAGCAAAGACAAAUGCUAGUUCUUGAGGACAGUCGUCAUCAAUGUAGCCAGGUUACUGUCCAGUUUGGCUCCUAUCCUUGCCAAUUUAUCAACGCAUCUGCUGGCUUCGCGUUACCCUUGUGUCGGACGUGUGCAAAUUCUCGUGCUUCUCGAACAUCUUGACCAGUGAAGAAUGUUGUAUACUCUUGGAAACUAAUUUAAGGAGGAAAAAAAAAUUGCUAUGCACGAUGGUCGAUGCUUUAGCCAAGUUUCGGCAUCUCUUGCUCUGAUAUACCUGAGCACAGAUUAUUAUAAUCCAAGAGAUUUGAUCAAAUUGUGGUUUAAUUAGUCGCUUGUAUUUGAUAAUUGAGCUGUAAGCAUGUGCGUUUUGGUGGACCAAAUUAAAGCUCCCUUGCAUUGGUGGUCCAGCUGGUUUGUCAUGCAGCAGUUGGGUACGCCAGUUCUGCUUGCCACGUGUCUAUAUAGUUUUAAAUGCCAGAAAUGAACAGAAGAAUACAGAUGAAGUGGCUGGCUGAGACAGAACCGAAGAGCGCAAGGUAAUCCUUAAAAUAGCCAGGUUGAUAGGUGUUGUGACAUGUCCGCUGCUCCCUGCAUGCGGCCCCCACGCCUUAGAUGAUUAACAAAUGAAUUGUGGCUGGACAUGUGGAACUAGUCAUUUUUUGAUGAUGAAGGAUUGAACAUGCUGGAAUUCUGUAAAACUUUGCGUUAAAAGAAGUGACUUCCACUGUAAUUUGUAAAGAGGUAAAUAAAUAAGCAUCUAAAAAGUGGGUAGGCGAAGCAUAUGGAUGUGUGUGGCUAUUUGCAGAGGGUUCUGAACCUUUAUAUUCAUGAAGCAUGGGCUCUGAAAAACUCGACUCUUUCAGAAGGUAACGAAACAUGUCACCCUAGUUAUUUCAAGGGCUCUGCCCGCGCCAGCUUUAUGUUCCAUCCUCGAGCACGUAUGAAUGACUUGGGAGGACGAUUGCUUCAAUUCUUAUCGUUUGGAUAUUGGCAUGGUUGUCAAAAUCAAAAGGUCCGCAUUCUUGUUUUUUCUUUGGUGUUAUUGAAGUUUUUCCGUCCCUAAUCGAAUUGGCAGGAUAUGGGAGCUGGACCCUAUUUAAAACGUGGUUGGCCCGUGGUGGUUUUCCUUCCAUAAUUUGCCAAGAUUGACUUGAUCAAAGCAUUUAUGAUAAGAAAGAAAAAAGACCGAGGCACGUAGGAAGGAUGUGGAGAGGAUUUUUUUUCAAAAAAAAAAAAAAGAGCAAAGAUAUAAAGAUUUUUCUCUGAUUCCUGGCUUAUUAGAAAGACCAGAGAUGGACACGUUUGGAAUUUGGGAUGAAUAUAGUCCGUAUAGAAAAACCUUACCCUAUACAUUAAACUACUAUAAUACACUAGUGUUUUGCUUUUCUUUUUCUUUUGGGACUUGCCUAACUUGAAUUGAAAAUCCUAAAACCAGGAUUAUUAAUUACACCCAUUAGCUAUUACUAGCUUGAAGGUUCCAUUGCACAGCUGUGUUUGUUAACCUUUAAUCGACAAAUUUUACAUGAAUCCCCUUUUAGUCUUCGUCCUCUUAAUUUAAAUGAGAGGUUAAAAGAAUUUACCUUCUUUUUCCUUUUAACAAAAGGAGAUCAACGUAACAUUUAAAAAAAAAAUAAAAAAAUUGGGGCUUGGAUCUCCGUGUUCAGAAUAUCUGCAACAUAACAUGUGGAUUUUUUUAACUUCUCCUAGUAUAAUAUGUGAAGAAGGCGGUUAUAAACUUAUAAAACACAUUAUAGUAUAUUUGUUCGUAACCGUCAGCAUUGAUUAUUUUUUUUCUUCAUUUUGAUGCAAUCUCUUUGACAGUAUUCUAAUGUCCAAAAUCAUAUAAGCUGUAACCAAAGACCAUGCUCGCCUCUCGGAUAUUAAAAUAAUUAGCAAAGCAAAGACCAUCCGCCUUUUCUGAAUGAACAAUCAUUUUCCUGAAUAAUUUUCCGCAUAAAUUGAUCCAUUCUGGUUGCCUAAUGGGAAUAAACAAAUGAUCUUCGGAGCUUCCGCCCAACGUGGCGGCCCACCUAAAAUCCUAGAACUUCUAAAUUAUUGAGGCGGUGAAACCGAAACCUCAAGCAAUUCUCGACAAUCAAUCAAUCAAUCAAUCAGAGUUAACAAAUCGUGAACUGUCUGGUUUGUUUUUGGUCAUACGACAUUUUGAUGGCGGGAUCUAUUUCAUGAAACUUGAGCAAGGUCUGUGGGUCUAUUAUACUUAGCUGAACAUAGAUUGUGGAUUGCGUUUUCUUUAGAGUACUCUCUACUUUUUUAUGUUAAAUUUUUUUUUUUUGGAAUGUAAUGAACCCAAUAUAUAAAUACUAUUCAAAAAAAAAAAAUAACAAGUAGUUGGGAGAUGUGUCCUAAAAAUAUUUUAUAAUUUGUUUCCAAAGACAAAAAGAGAUGACCUUCAAAACGUAUAGGACUAGUAGCUAAUUAACUCAGAGAAUGGUAGUUAAGUUUAAGAAUUGAGCCUUAAGGUCCAAUUUAAGAUCAACUUCUGAAUGGACCCGUUGGUUGGACUAUCAAUGACAAGUCUUAUUUGUCAUGAGCGACGACUUGGAUUUUAUUGAAUUUGAUGUUGACGACUUAAAUUGCGUGACGUAUUAAACUUUAAAAAAAUCUAACUAAAGUUAAAUCAAGAGUCAAAAUCAACUGAUUUAACAAAGCAUUUCAUAUAAGAAAAAAAAUAUACAAAUUUGAAAUACACUCAAUUCGAAAUAUGAAUAAUUUACUAAAUUAGUUGUAUUCUUUCAAGGUAAUUGCGUUUAGAAUUCGUCAACAAAGCAAACCACCAUGUACAAUUUUUUAACGACCCUGAAAAGCUAGCUGAAUUUGCUUUGAAUCGUUCUUGUAGAUAUUCUAAUAUACCGAGGCAUUUUCUCAUCAGAAUAUUAAAGCUACUCCGAUCCGUUGCUUAAAUGCGGUUUAUCUCUUUUUCACUAUUCAAUGAUUGAGCUUCAAGUGCUGUCUUUGGCUAACCUAUGAUGUUAAUUAAGGGAGGGAGAGACCUAUGAUGUUAAUUUUUUGUAAAAUUAAAAUUUGUUCCAAAAAGUACCUAGAUAUAUAUAUGAUAUGUAUGCUUUUCUUAUUAAAAAGUGGUAAAAAAUUAGGGUAAUCAUCCAGACCAUCAAAUAUGCUUUUGGAUAGUUGGAUCAUGUAUACUUAUGGAUCGCCUCCUUAUAGAGCAAGUAAUAGUCCUUUUACCCAAAAAACCAAUAAUAGUAAUGAUAAUAAUAACAACAACAACAAUAAUAAUAGGAUUAAUCUUUCUUACAACACUGUGUGACAGUGUAUACACUGUAAGUGUGUUAUGAUAAAUAUAUAAAAUUUAAAUUUAAAAUUUAACUUUUACACAUAUGUGAUAGAUUCAAUAAUGAUAGUAUAGUAUAUACACUGUCGACAGUCAGUCGGUGCAUAUAAAAUUUACUCAAUAAUAACAACAAUCAUAAUAAAAGAGAGAAAGAGAAGCGAAAGUGUAUUCCCUAAAAGGGAGGCCUGGGCACUGGGAAUGGCUUGCGCACCAAAUAGUUCUCCACUUAAACUUGAAAUCUUGCAUGUUUUAAUUCACGCACAAGAUCUGUUCUUGAUUUGAUCAAGUCAUGCGACGUAAAAUAUUGAACACGCUUUAUUUUGGAACAACUGGCUAACAGUCAAGCAGCAUGCAUAACGUACGAACCCCAAUUAAAACUCAAUCCUCUCUAAUGGGGAAAAUAAGGGAAACGCGAUGCAACGCUUUUGGACUCGCUUGCAACCGAGAUGGAUAGAUAUAGAUUUAACUCUCUUAUUUUGCAACUUUCUUGACGAAUAAUUGUUAUUAAAUCUGGAUUUAAUAGAGAAAAUUUGCACUAAUUAAGGCAACAUGCUUCUUUCCUCACUUGGUGAUUCAACUAAUUAAUCACCAACCCUAAGUCCCUAACCAGUCCUUCCCAUGUGAUAUUGGUUGGCAACUCGCAUGGGUGUAUGGCGGUGGAAGUUGGAAGACGAUCGGAGAAGCCGAGUUCGAAGUCAACUCUUUAACGUUCAUCACCGCGCUUCGUCGUCAGGGAAUUGCCUUGCGAAUCACGUCAUCCCGCUCCAGUCAACCCUGAACUUUAAACCUCCCGUAACUGUAAAGAAUUUCCUCGAAACCCAUAACCGGGCGGCCGGUCGCCGGAUUUUGUCCCAUUUGUCCAUGCAUUUUAAUGCCCUUCCUACCCCUUUCCUCACCCUGUCUCUCUCUUCUUGACAAAUUGAUUUCUUCUACGUUGCAGUCUUGCCGUCGCUUUAUAGCACGCCCACCACAAAUCACAAAUGCUGGUUCAUGAAGCUCCGACGAAAAUAACGAAGGAAACAAAACAACAUGUUACUCUCGCUCGAAUGAAUAGAAUCAUUUUCUAGCCAGUGGAUAAGAUAAAUCCAAUCUCAGGAGUAAGCUUAAAAAAAAAAAAAAAGAAAGAAAAAGAAGGUGUAAAAUGAGCUUGACAAUGAAAUUGCUUUUCCCUGUGGGGGUGAAGUAGACAUGCAUAUAUCUAAGUGAAAAUACCAAUAGAUCACGGCACCCAUAUGCCUCGUGAGUCACAUUUCUUUGAUUAUUUGCAAUUGAAACAACGAACUAGUGGAAAUAAACAUAAAAUCUAUUUGAAGGAUUCUUUAGGGAGACGUAUCGUAUGAGGGUAAAAAAAAAAAAAGAUAAAUUGUAGUAUUAUGUAUACAUGACAAAAAAAAAGUUUUCUAUUUAAAAAAUUGACGACAAAAAAAAUGUCUAAUAUCUGAUACUUUCUAAAUGUUAUCCAUUUUUCUCUCGAUUUUUUUUAAAAUUAAUUUUCCUAUUCACAUAAACUUAUGCUUUCUAGACAUUGUCCCUUUUUCUUCACACUUUAUAGAUAAAUUUUGUUGACGCUGUCCCUUUUUCUUCUCACUUUUUAGGUAAAUUUUGGAACACAAAAUUCGAUCAAAAUAGUCAUUGCAUCACAAAUAGUAUGCUUUUUAGGUAAACUUGGGAUGUCCUUUGAUUUUACUAAAUAGUUUUUAGGCAAAAUUUUUUCUAUUAAAACGAAUGAGUUUACUAUUCUAAUAUGCAUACAUAAAUGAAGCUAAUAAUGCAUCCUUCUAUUUGCUUUUUUUUUUUUUUGAUAUUUAACGAGGUUAGGAGAAAAUACAAAAUAUCUUUUUUGACUCAAAAAAUAAAUAGUUUGUCAUCUGUCAACUUGCCAAAUUUUCUACACGAGCAAAGCUAGCUGUGAGUAAUAUUUAACGUCUACCGUACGUGAUUUAAUGCAGGCAAAACAGCGAAAGAUUGACAGCGGAUUAUAAGCAGAUGGCAAAGAAGCUGUAAAUUGAAUAAAACCCCGUAAUAUUUUCAAAAAACAAACAAAAAAAAAGGGAAUAAACCCCGUAGAUCCGUCCACAUGCGUCUCCAUAUUCAUUCACCUUAUCCGUUGAAGUCGCAGGAUUUUGCUUGGGUAUUACGAAAAGCCUCCGAGGAAAAGCCCAGAAAUGUCAUUUCACGUUCCCUCCUCUUUUCAUUUUAUAUGAAGUAGCUGUCCCUCGCUGCGCUUCUUCUUCUUCAUCCGCCUGGGGUUGCAGGCUUGCACUUCAUUCUCCUCGAAUAUUCUUUUCUUCACCUCACCCAUCUGGAUCAUAUUGUUAAAGUUCCAAAUAUAUCCCCUCCUUCAAACCUAUAUAUAACUCUCCAAUCGAAAAUUCAAUUCGAUUGAAUCCUCUAUAAUCCUUCAAAAAAAAAAAAUAACAAAAGAAAAUCCUCUAUACUUUGUUUUUUCUUUUUCUUUUUUUGGUUUGCCUUUUAAUGCAGUUUCACUGCCUUCUCCUAUUAGUCAUAGAAUUUUGAUAGUCCGAAUAAGGUUCGGAAUUCGAGGUAAAUCUUCAAUCGGAGUAACACCUAAUGAUCGUUAAAUUCAGGAAACUUGAAUUGAAUUUACAGAAUUUUGUGAAGUUCAAUUCGCGUUAUUUUUCGUUUC
rnacentral:lncRNA from 1 species